CUCUACCAUUAUUGUGUCAUCAUUUAUCAUCUCUCCAAGUUUGCUCAGCUGCAGAAAGAUUAUGGUCCUGCAUUUAAUAUUAUUGAAACAUGUUUUAUGAUGGGUUAAACACUUUAUUCACUUAUGCACAUUUUAGUCAGAUACUGAAAGCAUAAACAUGAGGAGCCUUGAAGUGUGUUUUAACAAUGUUUCCAACUCUCUUUACCCUGUCAAGCUUGCUAAUUUAUCAAAUAAUUUAUUAAUUUGGCUUUCCUAAAUCUACCAUGCUUAAAUUAUAGUGUGCACUGAAAACCCUAUAGGGUCUGUUACCUUUUUAUGUAUCAGGUCACCGGUUACUUUGGUUUUGGCAUCCUGAUAGUUUGGUGACUCUAGCGCUGCUGGGUUACGGAACAAGACUUGGGACCAUUCCUCUGUCUGACUGACGCUCUUGACAUAGGCUUUAUUAGUGAACACAGUAUGCUUUUUGAUUAAGCUACUCAGCAUUGAUCUCACCUCCGUUUAGCUGCCUCCAAAACUCUAGACAGGUUAGUGUGCUCUAAGCAUGGAUGAUGGUGUUGGGCCAUUUCUCUGCUGUAAAGCAUGUUUGAAGACCAUCAUUUUCAUCUCAUAGCAGACAAUAGUCUAGCUGAAAAGUCUAUCAAUUUCCCUGCUUCUCUUUGCAGCGGAGCCUUUAUUUGGUGACUGUGCUACUGGCCUCUACUAACUUACCAGGAAUGUGAUUUUAGGUAGACUAUUUAAACAUAAUAACUGAAGGGUCACUGUGUCUAUUAAGGGAUGUGAUACAUUUCAAGUAAGGUAUUACCUGUCACAUAAACGUACAUAAUGAUGUUAUGGCUGAUGACAAUCUUGGGUUAUUUUUUUCCUUUAUAGGAAGAAAAUCAAUCAUGGUAAUAUUUGUUUUCAAAUAAAACCCAAGACUGCUAAUAUUCCUACUAGCCAUCCACUACGACAAAAGCAAGUCGAUCGUCUGUCCCAGGUGCUGGCAUGCCAAGGCAUGAAAAACAAAGCGGCCUGGUGGCAGUUGAAUUUUGAGAAAAGUUCAAUGGCUAACUUCUGAAUCUGUGGCUGUCUGAGUUUGUAGUGGAAAUGUUGUCGGCUUCAUCAGGAUAAUCAUUCAAGAGUGAUAAACAUUAAACUUAGCAUCAAACAUAUUUACCGUGGAACAACGAGAGAACCAUCGCUGGGGAAUGAAAGGCCUUGGUGUGGGCACUUCCUGACUGAAGUCUCCUGGAACGUCGAGUUUUGGGAGAGGGUACAUGUUCCAAAAUAUCAAUUCCUAAAAGAUGGGGAAUGCUUUGUUUCUUGUAUAACACAUAUUUGACCUCUGACGCAUUUAAAAAAAAAAAACAUUAAUCUAUUUUUUGUAACUGUCUUCCUUUUCCUUUUGUAAAGAAUUGCUUUCCCUCCCAUUUGCUCUCUUCUGUUGCUGUGAUGAUUUCCCCCCGAGGACCGCGUGUUUGUCUUGACAGGUGUUAGUAGAUCCAGAGACCUCUGUAGAAUUGUUCCUGCCUGCACCAGAGUACAGUAGAAAGCCUAACUCUGCAAAGGUAAUGAACUUACCUUAUUGCAUUCUAAAUAAAAGAAGCCACAGAGCAAGUGGAAUUAAUUUGCUAAUGUCUUUGUAAUGAAGCUUUCAUUAGACAUAUGUUGUAGUCUUCAAUAUCUAACAGACGGUACAUAUUAAAACAAAGCAAUACUGGUGAUUUUUUUGAAUGUCUAAUGAUUGUCUCAUAGAAUGUUCAGUAAAAUAGUUUAGCCUCAGAUUGUUUUAAACAUCUUAUUACAGAGAUACAAUAAACAUUUCUAGAUAUGCAUUUUUUUUUAAAAAACUCCGAUUAGAUUAAAUAAAUGCCUGUUUCUCUGCUUCUCUUCAACAACUAAAAGUGGAUUUACUGUUUUAUUGGUGGUGGUGGUGGUGGUAUGAGUUUCUCAGACAAUAUCUCAGAAAUCACAGGCUGGUAACCUUGAACUCCCUAUGGUGGUCAGGAUGGAUUUGAAUGCCUGGCUUUCCUAACUCUACUUUCCCAGAGUUAGGGCUACUUACAGCCUUCCUUGAUAGAACCCAGCCUAUGGCAUUCAUUUUUAAAAGAUAGAAAAACAGGGGUUUUAUGUUAUUGUAUAUUUUCAUUUAUUAAUAAAACUUAGAGACAACUGAUUGGGAACAUAAGUGUUUUAAUCCAAUUCAAAAUGUCUUAUAUUAAAAGCAAUGUUACCUAGCAGAGCAAGUAUUAGCUUAAAAGGAGGUUGAACUGAACACUUUAAUGGUCGAUGAAAGACCAAUACAAAUAAAUGUAAUUAAUACCCCUUUAUAUUAGCAAUAUUUCAUUUAAAAUUUGUCAAAGACAAAUUUCAAAACAUUUCAUAGAAAAAUAUGCUUCUAUCAAAAAUCCUCUUUUGGAGCUUAGGCUGUCCCUUUUUAGCCAAUAUUUAUUAUAGGGUAAAGAAGAACUACAAAUAAGACAUCCUUGUGCCUCCACUCUGCUGUGAUCUUAAUUCCUUAUUUUAUUUUUCCUUGCAAAUUCUCCCCUGCUUCUUUAUAAUCAAAGUUUUCCAUGAGACUGGAAGAUCUUAUCAACCAUGCAUUUUACUAUUAUAUCUUAAAUUUACUGAUUCAAAUAUUAUUCACUGCCACACAUUUCAGAAGAAAAAGGAACCAUGGCAAAAGAAAAGGAGAGGUCGGUCUUUUCUCCCUCAGCAGUAGCAGUCAAGAAUGGCGUGAAAGCUAUGCAUCAUGAAGAAAAGUAAUUUCCUACUUGAAGGGUUAGACACUACUCUCUUUUGUCUUGUUAAGUCAAAGUUUUAGUUAUUUUUUUUCAAGUAAUACUGAUUUUUUUCAAUUUACAUAAAUAUUCUCUAGGGAAACUCCAAAAGACCCAACAAACAGAUAUUUCUCAGCCAAUCAACAGGCGAGACAAAAAGUAUAAUAAAGUAGCAGUCUUAAACCCUAGCGCAAGCAUUUAUACAGCAUGGGGAAGAUUAAACUGCUAGACAAGCUACCGAUAAUUCACUCAAUAGGAAAAGUUUGUAUUGAUCCACAAGGCUUUCUUCCUCUCUUUCUUUAGGAACAAUACAGGUGAUUUUUGUUUUGAAGCUACUCACAUAGAGUAGCUUUAGAUAUUUGAAAGCUAUGUAAAUUUCUGCAAAUUUUUGUUUUACCUCUGAGUUAAAGAACGCUAUUAACUACUGCCCUCGGUUGGCAAUAAAUUCAUACUUGAGAAAAGAAGUAGCAGAGCACUGCAGUAAGCAGCACCAUAUGAGGCCAUAAUCAUUCUUCAGUGCACUUCCAUUCACGCGGGCACGGAGCAUCUCUUCAGUGAUGGAGGUAAAGCUUAGGCACAUGUGCAGAACAGGGAGAAGGAAAAUCAGUAGCUGAUUUUCACUCUCCAUUGUGUAACUGUGUGUUGCUUAUGCAAGUCAUGUUUAAGAAAUUUGUACAUUUUCAAUGAUGAAAUCUAUUAUAUCAUAUAUUUAAGAACAAAAAGUCUUCAGAGUAAAAUCCAAAUGUUGUGACAAAUCUUCUAAUUGAUUUCAUCAUAUACCUUAGGUUCUCUCUUUUAUCUGGCUACGGUCCCACCUUUCAAACUAGUGACUCAUCUUUGUGUGCAGUGAGUGGUUGUGGAUCAAGCUCUAGCUUGGUAUUUUGAUUGUGUGUUUCUACUUGUUAAAACACUGACACUAUUAAGUCAGAUUCAUACUAAAUUUCCUAUAGGGAUAUUAAGGACCAGACAACAAUUAUAGUCAUGUAGCAGAUAGUCCCUGCUUGGCAUACAACUAGAGUAUUAUUUUCUAAACCUGGUGAAUAAAAUUAUUGCAUAAGCCAGAAAAUUGCUUGUGAAAGCUGAGGGGGAUAAAUACCACAUUAGUCAAAUUAAAAGUCUGUGGACCAACUAUCAAGCAGAAUGAAAUAGAUCCACUGCAACAAAAUAACCUUAGAUAAUCAUAACUGUCUAAGAUAUUGAAGACAUUCAGGGUGCCUGAGAAAACUGGAAAUUGUAGAGAUGAUUUUAUAUUGACUCAGUGAAAAAUCCAUCAGUCCAACCCUAAGUAAAUACAGAUCCAUUUGAAUCUUCUAGGUUACUAGAAAGUUGGUUUGAUGACACAUUAGAGAUGGAAAGUAUGUUGAUAUUGCUAUGUGGUUUUUUUUGAAGUGCUAAAUGGUGCAAUUUUGAAUGAGACGUGAUUACUUCUUAGGUAGUGUCUGCCUUAAAACACAACCAGUAGAAAGAGUGAGGCUCUCCACAGUAAUAUUUCUGCAGAAACCCUCUUCUCUGCUUUCCUAGAGCAAGCUAUCACCCAAGAAAAGCUGAUGUGACCCAGUAACUCUAAUUUUGCUUUCAACAUCUAUGUUUCUUUCUCCCUGACAAAGAGCAGUAUUUCAGAACAUUGUACAGCAAUGCCGUCCUCUAAAAAUGUUCCCUUUUCCCUACCUUGCUUACAAUCAUGUUGCCUAAGUUAAUAGUGAGAUGCUGGAAAUGGAACUAGCAUGUUUUUCUUUUUUUUCAGCUUAUCUUGACCUAAACCCUUGUAACUGUUACAAAAACUAGAGAGUUAUUUCCCAUGAAAAACACCAUGUCCUCUAAACCACUGUAAGGAUGGAGAACCAGGAAGUGGGGGAGGAGGAGCAUAAAUGUUUGAUAUCCUCUGACAUGCUUUAUUAAGACCCUGGGCUAUCUAUUUCAACCCCUUAAGAAAUCUUAAAACUAAGUGAUCUACUUAGUCAGAUGUCAGUGUACUGGAUUUUAGAAGCUAAAUACACCCCUGAUGAAUGUAACCAAUUUCCAGGAAAGAUGGCUACACACACAGGUGAGUCAGACCACCUAUGUUCUAGGCACCCCACAGAGAUAUGUCUUCCUCAAGAAAACUGGUAACUUAUGCUCUAGGUUUCUGAAGAGCCACAGCAUUUUCAGAAAUGUAAAACAGUUCUUUUUACUCCAAGACCAUUAAGGACAGUAAUUGGUAAAUAAAGUGGACUAAGGCUCUCAAAAAGGAGAAAAUGCCUUUGGGUAAGAACAUUAUGGACCUAAAAGGAAGAGCUUGUGUUGUCCUUGCUGAACAUGUCAGGGAAAAAAAAUAAGACUAAUAACAUUCCAUUCACCAAAGAUAUUAAUUAGAACUUGAAGACUGAGGAUACUGCUCAAGAGCACUUACACCACAAUUAUGAGGAGGUGACUUCAAAUCUCAGCACCCUUAUAAACAACGGCUCAUGGUUGUGAGUGUUUGUAACCCCAGCAUAUUGUGGGGCAGAGCUGUUCAGUCAAAGUCCCUGGCCAGUCAACCUAGCCCAGAUGGCCACUUUCUGUUCACAGUCUCAAAGCAAUAAAAUAGAAACCAAUAAAUUAGACAUUGCACAUCUUCUGAAUUUUACAUGCACACACAUGGGUCUAUGUUCUCAUAAACUCAUGUGAGCCAACACCAUGCACAGGGCCCACCACACACCACUCACACAGACUUAAAACUUGUUGAGGCCAGAUUCAUAUGCCCUCUCAACUUGUGGGUUUGGGAAAAGUGACCCAGGGUUAUUAUUAAUAAACACACCUUUCAGGUAUUACACUCAAAUAUAAGAAAUGUACAACACCAGACAUUCAUUCUUGGGUUUUUUAAUUAAUAUUUGAAAUUUUUUCCACACCUAAUAAGUAGGCAAAGAACACAAACUACAAAGUACAAUUCCCAAGAGGCCUCAGGCUUAUCAGAGAGACACAAUUAUGAUGUGGUUCUUGGUGAAGAAACAAAUGUUCCGGCUUACUUAUCAUCCUGAACUGGGCUAAUGCCAAUGAUUCUUGAUAUCUAUGAAGAAGUUAUGGACACUUCUUGACUUGUAGGGCUUGAAUUGCAGAUUCAGUCUACAUGGCGCUAAAGGAAGAUUUUUUUCCCAGCCAAUUUAUUGUCCUGCCCAGGGACUUGCCAAGUAGCCAUAUGCAUAUCACAGAUACGUUUAUUGGCCAGGUGUUUACUACCCACUUAGUUAAUGGUGUUUGUGAAUUAAAAAUUAGAUGUAGACCUAAAAAUCGUUCAUAUUUAAUGUACCAUCAUUCUGCAAGACUGCUAUUAACUUUGAUAUACCUGUACAAUCUCCUAUCUACCAAAAGAGUACCAUUGCUCUAAUUCUUAGGGACCACACUAUGAUGAAAUACAUACGAACAGAAAGGUCUUGACUUCGGCAGCAAGAAAGCCAUUGUGGCACAAGAUCAAUACUUAUACUGUUUUCCCCAAAGAAUGUGCUUACCAUUGCUUCCUGUGGUCCUCAAAGCCUCAGGCCAAUAUGUAAAACCACACUUGUUUUUUUUCUUCUAAGUAUGUAUUGUCUCUUCAAAUUAAAUAAAAAUGUACCCAUGAAUGAUCCAGAGGGCCAACAUAGAAGUUAAGAUGGCUUGAAUGACUGUUAAGCUAAUAAAACCCAUUUCAGCUCACAGGGCAUCAUCUUCAUCACAUACUUAUUUGCUUCAAAGCAGAAAAAAAUAACAAAAACAUUUAUAAAAGUCUGCAUGAAGGCUUGAAAGAAUCAUUUGAUGAGCACAGUGUGAGAGGGACCCAAUACCAACAUGUUUAGUGUGAAAUAUAACCUCAGGAUUUUCACUGAACAGAAAUAUAAUAAACAGACAACAGUUGCACACAAUGAUUUAAAAACAUUUUUAUGUGUUGUGGUAGUUUGAAUAUGUUUGGCCUAGGGAAGAGAGUGGUACUAUUAGGAACUGUGGCCUUGUUGUAAUAGAUGUGGCCAUUGGAGAAAGUGUGUCACUUUGGGGGUAGACUUUGAGACCCUCCUCUUAGCUGCCUGUUUGCAUGUCUUCUCCUGUUUGCCUUUGGACCAACAUAUAGAACUCUCAGCUCCUUCCAUGCUAUGCUUGCUUGGAUUCUGCGAUGCUUACUGCCUGGAUGAUAAUGGACUGAACCUCUGAACCUGUAAACCAGCCUCAAUUAAAUGUUGUCCCUUAUAAGAGUUUCCUUGGACAUAGUGUCUGUUCACAGCAAUGGAAACCCCAACUAAGACAUGUGUUGAAAUAUAAUGCCCAGCUCUUGAAGUGAAGAAUACUUUUCCCAAACCCUUAACUAUAGUAUCCAUGAAUUGUAUUUGAGAUACUUAGCAUAACAUUAUAAGAGUUACAUUAAUGGACAAGCUGGGGAACAGAUGGUUUUAGGAGACACAUUCAGUUUGGAGUAAUAGACAAAGAAGAAAUACUGCACACAUAAAUGUAGAUUUAUUCUAUAUUUGCCUUGUAACUAUAGAAAAAAAUCAAUUAAGUGGAAACAGACUAACAAGGUAGCAGAUAUUAGUACUCAAUACCUGUGCAGGGUCCAUAAAGGGGAGGACUAGGGGAUUUUGAACUAAGCUAUUUCCACAACGGAAAUUCUGACUACAGAAGGAAAUGAUAGUGCUUAUAAUCACUCGUCAACCAAGAAAACUGAAAGUAGGUUUAUAGAUCAGUAGAAAUAAAAGCAUUCAAAAGACCACCUUAUGCUGUGGAUCUUAUGUGGAUCUGACAUAGCCUAGAACAUAUGCAUCAAAUUUUUCUUAGAAGUUAUGUAAAUAUUAAUAAGAAAUAUUUGUGAUUAUAGUCAUAUACAUUUAACCUAUUUUAUUCCUGUAUUUUUUAUACCUAGGGAAAUAUAUCCAAUGUUCUUCAAGGAGGAUGUGGAGUAGAGUAUUAAAAGAUAGCUAAGAAAAGUAAAAUAGCAUUAACAUCCCUAAACUAAAUGAGUAGCCAUAAGUUCGGAAUCCUAAAUACAAAUAAGAUAACAAUUGUGAAAGAAGAAAGCCUGACAGGGCCCAGAGUGGUGAUUCUCCCCAUGUAGGUCUCAACUCCUUUUUGGGUCACAUAUUAGAUAUCCUGUAUAUCAGAUGCUUACAUUUAUGCUGGCAAGAAUAGCAAAUUUAUAGUUAUGAAGUAGCAACAAAAUGAUUUUAUGGUUGGGGGUCACUACAACAUGAGGAAUUAUAUUAAAGGGUAAUAAGAAGUUUGAGGACCAUUGAAAUAGAGAGGAAAGCAAGACUGUCUUGAUCUCACAGAGGUGACUGGUAAAGAAAUCAAACAAUCAAAGCAACUGUGAGACACAGGAAAAAAAUCUAAAAUACACGAAUAGGUAAACAAUGGUGUUAGCACAUUGUGUAUGGUGGAUGCUGUGUAUGGGUGUCCUGUGUGACUUUCAUUUCACUGCACUGCAGUCAUUCAUACUGGUUAUAUUGUUAGCUUCUGUAUAUGUAGAGUCCAUUCAACCGUAAGGAUAAAGAGGUUUAGCACUCAAAUCUGACUUGAAUUAUUGACCUUGUAUGACAAAUCACAUGGAUUACUCUUAUAAGAAAAGAAGCAAAUUGUGUAACUCCAAAUAAGCAACACCAAAGCAUUUCAGCUCUUAUGAUGUCACUGUUUUCUACGGUGUGGUACAAACGUUACCAUUUUCUGAUGUCAUUUUUUGUUUCUGAAUAUAAUUUCCUUCCAUAACAUUCUCUGUGAUGUUAAAUGCACACAUAUUAGAGCUCACAGGGAAUAUAUAUGCAUAUAUACAUAUACGCAUAAACACACACACACACAAUGAUUGUAGCCCUGUUCCUACAUAUUUUGGUAAUUUCCUAUGCUUCUUCAAUAGACACUGAUUAUUCAUUAUCCAGCGUCAAGGGGUUAGCAAGUGGAGGGGACUCACAGGAUCACAGCUAGGAAGAAUAUGUGGUAUAAACUAAGAAUAUUUAUACAAAUAAAAGCAAAAAAAUAGAUACCAAAUGAACAGUGGAGUCAUUUAUAUUUAUAUUAGAGUUACAUGAGGGCAGGGUAUAGGUGUGUGUUGCCUUGAGUUUCCGGGCCAUAAAAUGAUGCUGUUUUUAAAAAUGGAGCCUGGCAGCCCUUUCUCAGAAAGGCGGAGUUUUCAAUGAUCCCUAGAAUGGCUGGAGGUUUAGGGUUUCCUCAGGAAUCUGCAUUCUUACUGGACAUGGGACAAUAUAUGUUUGAUAAAGUUUGUAUGUAUGUGGUUCAUAAAAAGUUGUUCGUGAAUGCCUGCUGUGGCCUUUAGGAGUGUGCAUUUUUCUCAAGUAUGUAUGUAUUCCUCUGAAACUAAGAAAUGUUAAUUUCCUUAAGGUGUGCUGUCUCUUCCACUAGAUAGUAAAUACCUAAAAGGGUGCUAUCGAACCCAGGCAGCACUAUAGAACUCUGUUUAGUAUUUUUCCUCACGCACCAGGCUUUUGCUCAAAUUAAUCAUAAAUAAUUGUUUAUGCUAAGUAGGGGAGAGAUGACGGUAGAUAGGAGAGUGAGCUUAUAAUCGGGAACCAUAGAAGGCAGAUAUUGAGGUAUCUCUUUUGUCUUGAUGAGCAGGAAUUGGGAAGGGCUAAUGAUCUAUCUCCAUUAGUUUUACUCUGCUCUUGCCAGUAUUGAUAUUCAUUCUCUGAAAUGUGUUUGAGAUUACCAAAAACAAUCUUAUGUGAACUGAAGACAAACCACAAAUGGCUGACCAAAACUUUGUUUAGAGACUAAAGAAAAGUCUACCUACCUGCAUUUUUGCUCCUCAAAAUGAGUUUUAAAAAGUCAGUUCCAUUUUAUCAUGCACAAGUAUGUUUGCAUAUGGAUGCGUGUAUAAUUUCUUCAUGUGGGAAAACUUUGCAAUCACUUUUGUCAAUUAAGAUCAGAGUUAAUGAGCUAUAAAAUGAAUUUGUCCAGGCACCAAUGCCUUUACAUUUUCUUUUAUUACAAGGUUACUCCUGAUCUUCCACUCUUUUCUGACUCCCUCACAGACCUCACAUGCUUUCGUGUUGUUAUUAAAAAUAGUCAAAAAUCAAAGGUGGAAUUUAAGACUUUUAAAAAAGGUUGCAUAUGGACAAAAUAAUAAGAAAUUAGUGUGAGACAUAUUAUUUAGGCUGGAAUUUUUCAAAAUUUGAAACAAACUUUCAUAUUAAUUUCUUUUUUGUUGGGUUUUGUUUCUUGGGGUUUUUUUUGUUUGUUUUUUGUUUGUUUGUUUGUUUGUUUGUUUUUGUUUUUCGAGACAGGGUUUCUCUGUAUAGCCCUGGCUUUCCUGGAACUCACUUUGUAGACCAGGCUGGCCUCGAACUCAGAAAUCUGCCUGCCUCUGCCUCCCAAGUGCUGGGAUUAAAGGUGUGUACCACCACCGCCUGGUUCAUAUGAAUUUCUAUAUGUUACUAAUGUCAAUAUAUCUGUGCUCAUGGAUUGCUUUCUGGGGUUUGUUAUUUUGUAUGUUAUUUUUUAUUUAAAGAUAUUAUUUCACUAUGUAGUUCAAGGUGGCCUCAAUCAUAAGAUCUUCCUGCCUUCACUUCCCAAAUCCUGAUGUUGCAGAGUAAGUACAUUUGUCUUUUUGAGAUGGCCAUCUACUGCUGAGCACAGUGCCUUAAAACCAAAAGCAACAGCAUUUUUGGAGGGUCUUUGUCUUAUAAUACUUUCUCAGAACUUCUUGUUUUUAAGUCUUUUCCCUUAAAGGUCUUUUGCAAAUAUAUUAUGAUUUCUCACUGUUUGAUUUUGGAGGGAUUUCUCUCUGUGUGUGUGUGAACAUGUGUGUUUCUGCAUGGAAGUGUAUUUUUGUGCUUUUUCUUUGGCUCCUUUUCUUCUAUUUGUUUUGUUGUAUUCCAGUUUGAUUGCUUUUAUUUGGUCUUAUUUAAUUUGGUUUUAAAUGCCUGUUUGUUUUCUUUUUUUUUCCUUUUAAAGAUUUAUUUAUUAUUAUAUGUUAGUACACUGUAGUUGUCUUCAGACACUCCAGAAGAGGGAGUCAGAUCUCGUUACGGAUGGUUGUGAGCCACCACGUGGUUGCUGCGAUUUGAACUCUGGACCUUCGGAAGAGCAGUCGGGUGCUUUUACCCACCGAGCCAUCUCACCAGCCUGCCUGUUUGUUUUCUAAAGAGAAUGAAGUAGUGUGGAUUUUGGUGGGAGGGGUGGUAGGGAGAUUCUGCGAGGAGUCUUGAGUGGGUAAUCCUCAUCAGACUACAUUGUAUAAAAAAUAUGUUUUCAGAAAUAAGAAAUGAAUGGAUAAGCAUUCUAACUCAAAAUUAUUAUAGCACCUCUUAAUCCUCAAAAAUUAAUUCAUGUAUAUAUAUAUAUAUGGAAAGAUUCAUUUAGAAUGAAGUUUAUUACAGCUUAUUAUGAGUGUCAUGCAGACUACAAGAUUAAGUGAUUUACCCAAAUUUGAAAAGUUUAUUAAUUUAUAUCUGGGAUCUAUGAAAACAUAGGAAUAAUCACUAACCAUCACAAUCUGUGGGAAUUGAUGGUUAGUGUAUGCAUUUUUAUGAACAAUGGAUCUAUAAUUUUCCAAAAUUACUAAAGUAUUGCCCAGCACAGUUGAAACAAAUAUAGCUAUUGUUCUAAUUUAUAAAAUGUUUCGUGUACCUAAAGUAUUCUAAAGUAUUUAAUAACAAUGAAGAGGUUCCUGAGUGAUAAUUCUGAUGGGAAUCCCAUGAUCACAGAUAACAGAAAACUCUUCAUAUCUCAUAAUAUCAUGAUUCAAAACACCAACCUUGGAAAAUAGUUAUAGUGCUAUGCACUUAAUUUCCUAUCACUUCCGACAUUGAUAUAACUAUAAUUGCUGUCCUUUGGAGAUUCAAACAAGAAAAUUUACUUUGCCUAGUAGAGUAGACUUCAAAUAUUGAAUAUAAGACAGAAGGGACACAUUUUAUUUUGUUAAUAUUUUCUAAAAUACAUACAACCAAAGACUGAACACAUUCUCCUAUACUCUGACUUCAUCAUGGCCAACUCUAUAUUUUCUUGGUGUGUGUGCGUGUGUGUGCGUGCGUGCGUGCGUGCGUGCGUGCGUGCGUGCGUGCGUGCGUGCGUGUGUGUGUGUGUGUGUGUGUGUUUCUCUUCAUAAAGAUUUGGGCUGGGGAAGAUCAAGGUAUUUUUGCAUCUAACUGACAAGAUCAAACGUUAGUGACUUUCCUAGAAGAUUUAAAUGGAAAGUAAAACUUGCCCUUCAGGUUCAACUCUACCUAUAUGGUCCUAUUUCCAGAAUGAAUAAUGAUAAAGUCUAGGUGAAAAGCCAUUUAAAUUUUCUAAAAGAAAGAACAUUAGUUUAUUAAUGUGAUAACUCAGGCAUUCCUCUCAUAUGGAGAGUGGUAAAUAAAGGAAAGCCUUAUAAUUAUUUGAUCAUAAGACCAAAGAACAAUAAAUACUCACACAGACUAAUGAAUACUCAUAUCUCUGAGAAAACCUUAGUCUUCAAGGCCACAUUGGAUGCUUUGUUCACAUUUUUUCUAGAGAUCCCUGCAUUUAAAUUUUUUAUACCAUUCUGUGCUGUUUUAUGGGAAUCUUUGACAGGAGAAAAUAUUAGAGAAAAUAGAAAAAUUACUUCUAAGUCUUGUCUAUGAUAUCAAAAUUACAUCAAAUUAUUAUGGCCAUUGUUUGUUUCUUAGGUCUGCAUAUUCUCAACAUUCAAUUUAAAAUAUGUGAGGUUAGAAGAAGAAAAGUAUUCCGUUUGCCACAAAACAAUCCAGUUAGAGAAGAGAUAGGAGAAAGUGUCCGUUUAUAGAUAAAAGCUUUUUUGUCUGUCUAAUGAUUGUCAGACCAACCUGUGUGAUAUGUUCAUUUGGAUUUUUUAAAUGACCCGCUCUCUUCACUUUUGGAGAUGAUGAUAUCUUCCAUGACUUACAUGAAGUAACAGUGAGAGAGCACUCAUGUCUCACAUACAACUGACAUGUCUUACAACCCAUAGCCAAAGGGAAAGAGCCAGAGAGCCUCUUCCUUAUGAUUAAGACAUUUGCAACUCUGGCAACAGUUCGUUGAAGAUGUUACUGUGGAGAGCAUCAGCCAUGGAAAUUGUAUUCCUGGGCAAAUUGUGCACCUGAGUGGUUGCCCUCAAGACCAAGCAGACAAUAGGAAAAUGAUCCUAAAAUAGGUAAGUACUGAUGACACAGUACCCACUAGAUGGUGAACAUUUUAAUCGCCAACAUGCACUGUACAAUUUUGAAUGAUACAUAUCUUCAACAUUUUAAUUUUACAUCCAUGGUUUAUGAAUUGCAAAUAAUUCCAGUUUGGGUGUCAGCAGAUGCAACAAGUUCCUGUGAAAGCUUUGUACUUUGAGUGGUUUCCUUUUGACGAAACCCUUAGCUUAUGGAAUGCAGCCAUCAGCAGUCUAUGGCAAAAUGAAAUGCUGCAAGUGUAUUUUUAUGCAGCUGGGAUCAAGUUACUAAAUGGAUCAAAAAGAAAUCAUUUCUUUGAAGAGGUAGGGCUGUUGAGACCAGUGCCCUAAAAAAUAAGUGCAAUUCUGAGGAUACAAAAACUUGUUUAUAUCACAGUGGAAGUAACUAUAGAAAUGCUGCCAUAUAUAUUCUUGCACUCAAGAUAUAUUGGAUGUCAUUCUCAACAUAUUUUCAUACCCUCUAGUUUAACAUUUGUAUUGUUAAGAGGUUAAUUUCAUGGUACAUCCCAAAUAACUGACCCAGGUAUGAACAUUUGUUUCUACUGAUUUUUGCUUAUAGCCUUAAUAAUAGAAAAAAAUAGCAGUUAUUUAUCCAAUAAAGCUCUUACACUGUGCCAAAUUGUAUCCAAAAUAUUUUCUAACAUGAUUCCAUUUGAUUUCAUAAUUAACCUUUAUUUCAAUAACCAGGGAGUAUUUUCACAAUUUUGUACAAGAAUUAGCUGAUUCUUUGAAUUUUAAAUGUAACUUUAAAAGGUUACAGAUAUUGUGUCUCAAAUAGAGAGUUAGAUAUUUGGAUUUUAAUUAAAAAUAAUCUCCUCUCAAAUAUAUAUAUUUAAAGUUAUCUAUCUCUAGAGAGGGUAAGUGUAUUUGAAUGCAGGUGUCCUCCAAGGCUAGAAGAGGUUGUCUGAUACUUGCAGCUGGAGGUAUAGACGAUAUGAACCACCACAUGUGGUUACUGGAAAUGAAACUCAGGCUCACUGCAAGACUGCUAAGCCAUCACUUCAAUGGUCUUUCAAUGUCUAAACUGUAUACUAUGUCUUUAGGUUAGAGAGCAUGCCAAUUAAUUCUAAAAUAUGAAGAACUUGUUCAUAUAUAAAAGUAUCUUCCAAAAUCUCUCCAUAUGUGAAAACCAAUUUCAUUAGCAGAGAGUCUGUAAAGUGAGAUUACAACGAUGAAGAAAGCAAACUGAAGACUACAGAGCUCAUGUGGGCAGAAGCACCGGAAUAGCUAAUAAGAGAGGGGUAUGCAGCAAUUUGUAAAGGCACAGUGGCAAGUCAUAGAAUGAAAACUCAGGAAGGGGUACUAUUGGGAACAAGUGGUUGAUCUAACAGUGCAAGGGAUAAUGUUUGUAAUGUUCUUUAAGAGAAAUAUUUUCUGGCUCUGAGUUGGAAAGCAAAAAUAAUCUCUUCAUUACCAAGACUCUCAACAUGUCACAUGCCUUUUAAAAAAAAUACCACCCUUAUUAUAUAUGAAUGUAAAGUUGGGACAGGCAGAUCACCACAGUACUAUCAUGUGAACACCAAUUUUUUUCUAAAGUAACAGAAUGAAUUACUUGCAGACCUUCAAUCGAGGUCUUAGUCCUACCCCAGUCCUGCAAGUUCAUAUUAUGUUCUGGUUUGCAUACUUUGCUGUCUCUAUAUAGUCAGAAAGGGAGACAAAUAUCAUGAAAAUUUGUGAAGAUAAAUAAAGUGGUUGAAUCUGAGUAUCUAUGUAGUUUGCAAACAAAGGCAGUGUCAGGAUGACAGUCAGAUUAGUUGAACCAAACAAUAGCUUGGUCAAGAAUUGUCUGUCCACAGGAAACAGGAAACAGGAGUCAAUAUCAAUCAGGAAAAACUCAAUUCUUCUAAUUAAGCGAUAGAUAGAGUCUGCCAUCCUUCUUAUUGUAGACAUCUCCCCAUAAUGAUGGAAUCUUGUCCUAAGUGAACAAAACUAAAUGUAUGCAACAUAGAUAUAAAGAAGUGAAUCAUUCAGCAUGUUAUUUGGUACAUGGUGAGCUUGAUCACCAUGUAAAUGCCUUUGUUGGUAAGCCAGCUAAGUACAACAGAGGUGCGAUUUAGGAAACUUACUUGUCUUUCUGUCUUUUUUCCUUCCUUCUUUCUUUUCUUCUUUUCUUUUUUUCUUUUCUUACUUUUUUCCUUCCUUCUUUCUUUUCUUUCUCUUUUCCUUCCUCUUUCUUUUUUCUUUUUUCCUUUCUUUUCUUUCUUUUUUCCUUCCUUCUUUCUUUUCUUCUUUUCUUUGUUCUUUUCUUUCUUUUCUUUUGACUUUCACAGGCACACAUUUAUACACGUGUGCAUAUAUGUGUGUGUGUGUGUGUGUGUGUGUGUGUGUGGCAACUCCGUGAGAUUUUUGAAUGUGAUUGCUAAUAUUUAUUGAUACAAUGAUUUAAAAAAUAUGGCAGUAAGUACAUAUGUCUUACACUUAAUUUUAUAAAUAAAUCAAAUUAUCCUGAACAGUGAUAGUAAACUUAAAGUUCAUAAAGUGCUUUUUGAUGAAUGAAAAUAUUAAAAAAACCUAUAACCCAAUUCAAUGUUAGGCAGGGAUAUUUACUAAUCUUAACUUUACAUACUUUCAGAAUUUUUCCCCACUGGCAUUAUUUUAAAAUGAAUUGUAGAAUCCUUUGUGUAAUGUAAAUAUCUUCAGCAAGUUCCAUAAACUUGACCCAGCACUUGGCAAAAUAUCUGCCAUGUAGAAGAUAUUCAAUAAGCACUUGUUAAAUGAAGAAGUAGUUGUGUUGGCUGUGAUGUGUUUAAAGAGGACAGAGAAACUGGAAGAAGUCAGAAAUAAAACACUAUAGAAAAUAAAGAAGACAACAACAUAAUUCAGAGACAGAGAACACAGAGAUGAAUAGAUCUUACACGCGUUCUCGCGACUGGCCAGGAAGAACGAAACAAACCGGAAUCUUCUGCGGCAAAAGCUUUAUUGCUUACAUCUUCAGGAGCAAGAGCAAGAGCAAGAGCUUUAUUGCUUACAUCUUCAGGAGCAAGAGAGCAAGAGCAAGAGAGAGAAUGGCGAAACCCGGUCCCUUUUAAGGAGAAUUAUCCUCCGCCUAGGACGUGUCAUUCCCUGAUUGGCUGCAGCCCAUCGGCCGAGUUGUCGUCACGGGGAAGGCAGAGCACAUGGAGUGGAGAACUACCCUUGGCACAUGCGCAGAUUAUUUGUUUACCACUUAGAACACAGGAUGUCAGCGCCAUCUUGUAACGGCGAAUGUGAGGGCAGCUCCCCACAAAUAGAGAAUCAGCUGACUGUCAGGAUGACAGUCAUGUUAGUUGAGCCUUUGCUGCAAAUACUGGGUGACUAGGUCAAGUUCUUGAGCAUACAUGCCCAAGGAAAGCUUGUGUAGUCUGUCUAGAAAGUAGAAGGGAAAUGGAUAGUAGAGAGUGGAGGGAGGGAUUUCAAGACCAGAAUAGACAAAUCUAUUGUAUACAAGCCCACAGUCAAAGAUUUUCUACCUCCCUGAGUGGCAGUCUAGCUUGCAGGUAGAGUAUUGACUCCUAGGCAGAGCACCAUGGCUAUAAAACAGACCACUGAGCUAGGCAAUAAAAGAGAGGGAGAGAGAAUAAGAGGUCUAAUGUUUUGUUUAUGUCCCCUUUAUGGCAUCUUUGAGAGGCUCUGCAGUCCCAGAGCUGGCUUUAGCUCAUAUGCUUUUCUGAUUAAGGCAAUACAUAGCAAAGCAAUCUAAUAUUAAUGUGCAAUUUAGAAAAAAUUAAAGGUGUGUAGAAAUCUAAGGGAAAAUUUCCCAAGCAGAGUACCUACACAAUAACAGGAUAUAAGAUUUGUUUAAUUCCUUUUUUAAAAUAAAUCCUUUGUUAUAAAUCCCUAAAUCAUCUACAACUCAUUUUAAAUGCCCAACUCCACCAUAUUGUGCUUAUUGACAGUAAUGCUUGUUUAUAGCCUAACCCUUUGAGAAUAAGAUUAUGCUCCCAGUGAAUAUUACAAGUUUCAUUAUAACAAUCCUAAUUACAGAUUAAUAAAGUCCUUAAAUGAAAAAUGCAAAUGGCCAGGAUGAAAUCAUUAUGAAAAAUAUUAUUUUUAAAAUGUAUUUAUUUACUUCAUGUUUGUGUCUCUUUUCCUAAGUGGGUUUAUAUGUACCAACUAUUUGCAGGGGCUUCCGCAAAGGUCAGAAAGGAUAUCAGAAUCUAUGGCGUUGGAGUCGCAGGCAUUGUCAGUCAGUGUGGGUUCUGGGAACUGAAUGCAAGUCUUUUGUAAGAGAGGCAAGAGCCCUUCACCACUGAGUCAGCUCUCCAGACCCAUGAAACAUAUAUAUACAAUGAAGUGUAAGGAUUGACUGAUUGAAUGACUUUGAAAAUAUAAGACACUGAAAAAAUAUUUCUCAUAAAGAAUUUAACUAUUCUUUUUAAUUUGAACACUGGCUUUAUGCUUUUAAAUUUAAUAUUGUGAAACUGAGUGGUCCUGCAGAGCUUUGCAUUGUAGGCAAAUUUUUUCCUCGAGCAUUUGGGUCUUUACAUUGUUAGGCAAGGGUUAUGUACAGAUUUAUUUUCUUUCAUCCUCCAAGAGAAUAUCUUAGCCCUGCUGAUGAUAUUACAAAACAUAUCUUAAUUAUCUCACCUGUCAAAAUGGCCCUAACAUUUUGGGACAACAGACACAAAUAAGCAGUUGUUUUGGAAAUUCUUUGACAUUAGUGGCUCAAAUCUUUAGAUUUAUAUUGUUAAUAAUAACCGAGUGGUUAAAGGAAGGAAGAAAUUUGGAACAGAGAUGGGUGUGAUUUGGAUCCAGCCAUUUAUUAUCAGACUGGUGAUGGUGUCUCAUCCAUAAAAUACCAGUCACUAGGGAUUGUGUGAGGACUGAGUAAUGUGCCUUGAGCGAGGUAGUAGAUCACACUGUGCCCAAUACAUAAUGUGUACUCAAUAAAUGGGGGCAAUUUAUAACUAUCAUAAAUGAUUGUUAGUAUUAAUAAUAAAAGCCACUCAUUACAGAAGAGUAUUGUUACCAUCACAAACCUUGCUGCAUAUACCAAUUCUAAGAAAGGCUAUUUUCUAUCUUGCUCUUCUCUGAAUUUCUACUUGUGCCAUAUUACCAUGGCUGACAGAUAGAUUUCUUGUAAGCUCAAUAAGCAUAAGUUAUUACAAUAGGGCUUCUAAAGAGGAUAGCCAGAAUCAAUGCUUUGCUUAUGCUUGCUACCAUCAGAUCUUGCACUUUCUGAUUCACAGCAAUAAUAUUACAACUACAAUGAACUUUGACCUCAGUAGAUGUUCUACUUUAAUGGAUAAUUCUUAGUUCAUAUUCUUAGCAGCUAACAUGCUACUAAAAAAUAAUACCUGUGCUCCCAGGUAUUAAAUGAAGAUGCCCAACAUCAUAAGUUCAUUUAGAAGAGGCAAUAUGCAUAUUAAAAUAAUCUAUACAUCAAGUCAAAUUCUCAUGUACUUAUGAGGGAAGAAAACAUACCACUGCUGUUACUAGUUUGUGAGUGAAGUAGGAUUCUGUUCUUGCACCAGUAUUCUGGCUAGUUUAUUCCUGUGGUAUGCACAAAGGCGUGGGUUGCAGGAGUAGAAGAAGAAAACUCUUAAAGGAUGAAUUAUCACGUACUACCUGGUGGAAAUGAUGUAAUCAUUUAUUGGGCUGAGAACGAGCUAUUCUUGUUAGUUUUGCAAAGAAACUGACAAAUAUAAAUUGGAAUCUGGCAAGAGCUGUAAAGGACACUGGAGCUUUUUAACAGGAGGUAAAUCAGCUUUAGGUUACACAAAGUAGUCAGAGCAAUGCGAGUGACGUCCACCAGAACUGUGCCCAUCAGAUAAUAAUACUUCUUGCAUAAGGAAAGGAAGUCUAGCCUAAGCUACCAGCAGAACCAGCCAAUUUGGCUUUGUUCAUUAACAGCAAAUAUGCUCCAGUAUAAAUCAACUGCUCAGAAAGCUCUCCUUGGUAUAGAUUUAACCUUAAAACAAUUUUUUGAGAUAGAAUUUCAGGUCUGGAACUCAAAGUUUUUAGAUCAGGCUGACCUCAAAGUCACAGAGAUUCACUGGCAAAGGAUUAAUGGUAUAAGUCACUACAUUUGGAUAGAUUUAGACAUUUUGAGAACUGGAGCCACAGAUAUGUCCAAAAGAAAUGAUUUUCAAAACAAGAUCCUCUGUACCCUAGAGAGGACUUCUACAGGCCAGGCAAAAGUGUUGUUAGUCUUAAAACAAAACAAAACAAAACAGAGCAAAACACCAGUAUCAGCUCAUUAGAGAUUCUAAAACUGAGGUAUAAUAAGGCCCAGCAGGCCCAGAAUAGCCGUGGAGUGUUAACAUGGUGUGGCUUAAACUCCAAUGAAGCAACACCAGAAACCAGUGCGGCACACCUAUAAUAGCAUGGCUGGGAUUCAUGUCCUGCUGAGCAUGAGAAGUUGUGGCCUGGCACAGAAUAUCCCAGUCUUUCGUCAGAACCAAGAAAAAUAGCUAGGAAUGAAGUUAAAAGAAUAACUUUAUAAACUGAUGAGUGGCUCAGGUAUGGAGAGUACUUCUGUGCCAUGUGCAAAGUCGCAAACACUAUCGCCACCACAGCAAAAAAGUCUUUUGUUUUUAAACAGAGUUGGAAAAAAUAAUCAAGAUUUAAGAUGGCCAGAUGAGGUAGUGUACAAGGCAGGAGGUAGUAUUAAGGCAGCAGUUAGAAGGCUCAAGAAGAUGCAUCAAAAGUCUGAGAAUAUUUUAUAGUAUACACAGUGAGGCCCAGGUCAGCCUGUGUUACACAAAGAGUUUGUACCUCGAAGCCCAAAAUGAAGCCAAAUCUCUAUAAUUCUACUUACAGAUCAGUGAACAGUGCCAGCCUUCAUCACUAGUAUGCAAUGCUGGUAUACAGUAAGUUCUUGCUAAAUUAGUGGAUUGUUUCUUCUUUCUUUUCCAUUAGACUGAUUUCCCCCCAAUGAUUACAUAAACACUUAUUAUGAUUCUGAUUUUCAAAUACAAAUAAGAUUAUAAUGAAACUAGAACAUCAGAAAAGGUGAUUGGUACUGAUAGUUUUUGAAUGUGUAUUAAGAUAUUUAUAAAUUAUCUUGGCACAUAGGAAGAAAUUUACAUCUGUUUGCCAGCAAAAUGACAGUAAACUGAAUACAUAUCAAAAAUGGCUGUCAAUACAGUUAAAUGGAUAAAAAUCACACUUGCAAUGCAACAAUGGACACCUGAGUUCAAAUCCCCAAGAACCACACAAAGAGUGCACAUGGCAUGGUCACGUGUGACUGUAUCCACAGCACUAAGGGGCAGAGAAGUCUACCUGCAAUGGUGAGCUUCUAGUUCAGUGAAACACCAUGCCCAUUUCAAGAAAAUAAAGCAGAGAGAAAUAGGACUCUUGUAUCCUUGUAUACACAUACAUUCACACACACACACACACACACACACACACACACAUACACACACACACACACAGAGAGAGAGAGAGAGAGAGAGAGAGAGAGAGAGAGAGAGAGAGAGAGAGAGAGACUUUGAAAGCUAUCAGGAAGUAAGGGGAGAAAACAUUGUCGUUGGCGUCAUCAAUAAUAUAUUCUUUGAUAUUUAGUAAGUGCACGUGGUGUGCCAGAUCUGAAAUAGCUUAUUGUGAUCAACCUUCACCUCUAGGACUAACACUGUUUCGCUGUCAGGAGGAAUUAAUCAUGUGUGCCGCUAUGGAAGGUAUGAUUCACAGGCACAGGCAGCCACAAUGCCCAGUGGACAUAUCAGUUCUGUCACUGGGAAAUGACAAAGGGUGGAAGGACAGGCACACUAGGGAGGUCAGAAGAUUCUACCUGUUCACUAAUAAAAAUUGUGCAUUUUACUUGCAAUGCUCCAAGAACAAGGCCCUUAGAGGGCGCCUUCCUUCUGCUUUGCCAAUCUUCUUAUUCUACUUUUGCUCUUUUCUUCUUCUCUUCUUCAGGAUCCUUCGCUCAUAUGCAUUUACUUUAUUUUCCUCACAGUUGCCUCUUUGAUGAUAUAUUUCUUAGUCAUGACCAUCUUUGUGGGUGGGUAGUUUUUGUUUUCCCUUUAAUCUGAUUUUUGUCAGAAUCAAUUAGUUGGCUAAAUAUGGGUAGAUAUUUGCUUAAAAGUUUGAACCCCAAAUUAGAUCUUCCUUGUCUACCAUCAUAAUUUGUGUACAUUGCCCAUGUCCCCCACAAUCAUUUUCUCAGAGAGCCAAACUGAAAAAAAAGGGAAAAAAGUGUGGGAGAGAGAGAGAGGGGGGGGGAGAGAGAGAGAGAGAGAGAGAGAGAGAGAGAGAGAGAGAGAGAGAGAGAGAGAGAGAGAGAGAGAGAGACUGGGUUAAGAAUAGAAACAGCAUCCUGAAAAUGGUGGCAUACAUCUUUAAUCUCAGCACUCCAGAGGUAGAGACAAGCAGAUUGCUAAAUUCAAGUACAACCUGGUCGAUAGAGCAAGUUCCAGGGUUAUACAGAGAAACUCUGUCAAUAAAUAAAUGAAUAAAUAAAUAAAUAAAUAAAUAAAUAAAUAAAUGCAAAACAAGAAUGAAAGAAGUAGUUUAUGAUAUACCCUGAAAUUAUUCAGUCCUAGACAUUGGACACGUGUUGUUGCAGCUCUUGCUUUACCUUGAAAUUUAAUGCUGGAGUAGAGUGGGAUCAUUGGCUUCUUUCAUCUCUAGCUGUUUCUGUUGGUGUAAUUACCAAUGAUCACUUAGACUCCUGACACCCUUCCUCACCACUGGGAAAUGCACUGCUAGAACGAUUGAUGGAGAGCUAGCCAUCAGUCUCCCAUCCCUCUGAGAACUGCCCAUCCAGCCUGAGCCCUCUCCUCAUCUUGUAGUUGCCUAGAAGGAUAAUGCCCUUUGUUAGAUGUGGAAGAUGAGAAAGAAAUGGAGAAAGAAGUUACCUCACCCCAGCCUUACUACACACAGGGUGAUAGGCCAGAUUUACAUGACCUCUUGGCUAUUUCUGCCUUUAACCGGAGAAUAUGGAUUUUUGUAAGUGGGAAAGAAAUUUAAUUAGUCUAUGUUUUCCUACCUAUUGACAAAUAGUAAAAUCAGAUUGGCUUAAAAGAUUACAUCUUCUCUGUAAUACAUUGCUCAGAAACCCGUUUUCUACUGAACUCUUCUGGCCUGUGGAUCCCCAACCGCCCCCCCCCCCAACAGCAACAACAAAUCUGCAACUCCACCACAGAUGUGGAAACAGGUUGCCUAUCAUAUAAACAUUUCUUCUAGUUUAGACUUCCACACCAUCAUUCUCCAAUACCAUUCAAAACAUCAAUAUUACUUUUGAAUUACCUGCCACUUUGUCUGACCACUCGGUCUUUUUCUCCACCCACACACAUCGCUUGUUCCUUUGAUUCACCAGGUCCAUCACAUCUGCUCUUUAAGAUCCUUCACCCGCUCAUCUCCGGCAGCUUAUGAAUCAAUGUCCCUUAAACUUGGAAGAACCUUAUGAUCAAUGUAUUUCAGACUACCCUCUAACUUCUGAAAGAAAUAAACUUCCCUAAGCUCCAUCUGUUUAGAGAGGCCGGUUUCAAUGAUCACUCCCUUAAAGACUUUUAAAACACUGGUAUGGCUUGGCUGUUCAAUAUUCAGUGAUCUGUAAAGAUUCGUGUGCAAAAAGCUUGGUCCCCAGGUCUUGGGAGAUGGCAGAAUCUUUGGAAGGUGAAAUUCAGUGGAGACAGCCAGGUGUGUUAAAUCAGCAUGGGCUUAUGGUUUCCAAGACUUUGGAGAUCUCUGUUCUUCCCCUCCUGUUAAUGUCCCAGCUAUGAGGUCAGCCCUUCCCAUGCCUUCAGAACAGUUCAUUAACACUUGAGUGAAGCAACAGUUGUAUUCCACUGAGAGUUAGAUCAUAGUCAUUCCUAUCCCCAUAAUUAAUUGUUUCCUUCCCUCCUAUAUUAUUAAAUCUUCUCAUGUCACACCCAAUAGGUCAAGCAUUCUGUAGACUGCAGCAUAGUAUACUCACUCUAACAACUUCCUUAAGUACUGCCAGACAGUAUUUGAAAGUGGUAAAUCUCAGAAGCCAUAACAGUAUGCAUUCACAGAAUGGACCUCAUGUAUAUGCUACUGGAGAAUGUUGAUGUAGGUGGCUUCCACUCCAAACCAGCCCUGACAAUGGGCUGACCAGGUAUGACAGCAUGCCAUUUUGUGAUUUCUUUAUUGAGUUGCAUAUUAACCACCACAUUGAUUUCUACCACAGCUGAUUCCCUUUCUAAUAAAGUUUCUAAGCUUUUUUUUUUCAUACUGCAUAGACAUGUAACCUCUGACACCUCCACCACCCUGCUGCCUCAAUUAGAAGUUUAUUAUUAUUAUAUAUUUCCUGGAUGGACUUAUCAUUUUAUCAGUGCUUUGAUAAAAAUAAUGAAAACCUUCCACUUAGGUUUAUAAACAUGAUCUCAAGAUAAAAAGUUAACCUUAAUAGAAUUCAACUUCAAAAGUCCCCUGACAAGAAAAUAACAUCAUUAAUAUCUGUAAAUGAAUAUAUAUUUACACGUAUAUUCAAAAUUGAUAUUCUGAAAUGACAGUUCUGAUGUGUAAGAUGGUUGCUAAGAAACCAAAAGUCUUAUAUCACAUACAGCAUGCCUAGGCUGGGGAAAGGGAGUGAAGCAAGAUGGAACAAGUUCCUACUAUGAAAAUUCACAAUUUGUGUAUUCCUAGUAUUUCCACUUAUACCCUUGGAACAUAGCUGCUUAAGCAACUGAAACCAUAAGAAACAAAAUGUAGAUCAAAUGUAGACUAUUUCAGAUGAGUGUACAUAAAUGCACCUCAGAAAAACAUUCUACAUGUUAUAUUUCAGUACUUUAUUAUUAAUAUUUAGUAUCACAUAAUGCAUUGAUAACAAAUCUACCUUUUUAAAAAAUUCCCUAAUUAAAAUUAUUUUCCCAAAAAAUUAAAGAUUCUAAAUAUUCCAAACUGGUCAUUGUUGGCAAAUAUUAUUUUAAAUAACUACAGUAAAAAACAUUUCCAGAGGCAGGUAGAUUUAUGAGUUCGAGGCCAGCCUGGUCUACAGAGUGAGUUCCAGGACAGCCAGGGCUAAACAGAGAAACCCUGUCUCGAAAAACCAAACCCAAACCAACCAACCAAACAAACAACAACAAAAACCCCCAAAAAGAACAACAACAAAAAAACCAACCAAAAAUUACUAAAAAAGAUGGGAAAGGACACUAAAUACUCAUCAAAGGAAAAAUCAACCAAGACAAACUCAAUUCUGAAUAUCUAUGCCCCAAAAGACAUUUGUCAAAGAAAUGUUAUUGAAGCUCAAAGCACACAUUGAACAUCACACAAUAAUAGUAGGAGAUUUCCACACCACACUCUCACCAAUGGACAAAUCAUGGAAAGAAACAAACAGAGACACAGUAAAACUAACAGAAAUUAUGAACCAGAUGGAUGUAACAGAUAUCUACUGAACAUUUCACCCCAAAACAGAAGAAUAUACACUGUCCUUACCACUUCAUGCUUCUUCUAAAAACCCAACCAUAUAAUCAGGAACAAAAGAAACCUCGACAGAUACAAGAACAUUGAAUCAUUCCAUUGUAUUCUAUUGGACCACCAAUAACAACAAACACACGAGAAAGAUCUCAUACAUGUGGAAUCUGGACUACUAUCUACUCAAUAAUAACUUGGUCAGGGAAGAAAUAAAGAAAUAAAUUAAAGACUUUUUAGAAUGCAAUGAAGAUGAAGGUACAACAUACCCAACCUUAUGGGACACAAUGAAAGCAAUGUUAAGAGGAAAAUUCAAAGCCCUGAGUGCCUCCAUAAAGAAACUGGAGAGAUCAUACACUAGGAGCUUGACAGCACAUCUGAAAGCUCUAACACAAAAAGAAGCAAAAACAGCCAAAAGGAGUAGACGGCAAGAAAUAAACUCAGGACUGAAAUCAACCAAGUAAAAACAAAGAGAACUAUAUAAAGAAUCAACAAAACUAGGGGGUGAGAGCUCUUGACUCUAGCUGCAUAUGUAUCAAAAGAUGGCCUAGUCGGCCAUCACUGGAAAGAGAGGCCCAUUGAACUUGCAAACCAACCAACCAAACAAACAAACAAACAAAAAAACCAACAAAACCUUUUCCUGAACUUAUGAUUUAAAUAAUUAAAUCUAUAAACAUAAAAUGCUGGAAACUGUACUUAGUAGUAACAUAAUUGAAAAAAAUCUUUAGAUAAUUUAACUCAUGAUUAUCUCAACAAAAGCCAAUCAUGAGUUUUAGUGACCAAAACAGUUUGGUUCAUAAAUGGUUAUAUGAGCUAAUGAUUCUUACUUACAGCAUAGGUAAUUGGGAUAUUCUCCUUUUUAGUGCAAUGAAGAAGGAUGUGCAGUAACUGUAGUAAUGCUAUAAAUUAGUAAGAUUAGCAUAAACAAAUAUGACCAAGUAUUAGAACAUUUUACAUUAAGAGGUGACAGUGGAAGGUAGGCGUGAUAACAAUUAGUUCUUAUGCUUUUUUGAAAAGUUUUUAUGCUACUUAUGACUCCAACUUGUAAUAGAAUAUAGGAAUAACAGAAUAGACUAUAGGAAUAUAAGAAUGUCGUCAGACAUUCACUCUGCAGUGACCUGGUGGAAUCAGUGUACUGGAAUGAAUCCUGGAAAAGAGGGGGUUAUGAGGCAGGCAGGCAGCCUCCAGGUGAACUCCAGUAUUUUCAUCUGCUUCUAGUUCAUUCUGUGCCACUAGGGACUGGGCAAGGAGCAGAAUGCAGAGUUCUGUCCAUGCUCCUUGUAACAUUGUAUUACAACUAUUCUCUUCAUUUAUAGUUGGCAAAAUUGAGACUUGGUGAUUUUCUAGAUACUACCUAAAUAAAGUUCUUUGUGAAAGGAACAAACCCAUACAACUUCACGUUGUCACACCAGUCAAAUAGGGCUGGAUUCAUCUUGUGUUUCCAUACUUUCUCAAUUAAUACUUUUUACCCAUGAAUCUACAGAAUAGUCAGUUGUUGAAGAUACAAGAUAUUUUAUACAAGGAAUAUGAAAAGACAGUGUAUGGUUGGAGAGAAAGUCCCCUAAUAAUAAGUACAGUCCUGUCUGCAUUUUUCACAUAUUAUAAAAGAAAAGCCCCUUUGAAGUAAGAAUAAUAAAACAAUCUUGUCUAAAUGAGUAAAAACCAUUUUUUAUUAAACUAUUGUCAAUUGAAUGUUUUCUGUUCUUCAUGUGACAUUGUUCCUGGUGUGCUCAUGGCACCAGCACUGGGGAGAAAGGUGAAUAAGCAUAACAGUGGUCAUGUCUGUAUGUCUUUAACAGUAUUAAGUAGCAGUGGUCCUUUAAAAUACAUGUAGGUUUCUUUAUCAUUUACAUUUUCUACUUACUCAAACUUAUGUAAUGAACUUCUGUCAGACAGAUACAUGAGUGCGAAGUUGAGUUCUAUUCAGUUACUCUGUUAAAUGCAAAAGUGUUAAGAACAGUAUGAACAAGUAUUUGACAGCUAAAGUGCAUGGUCUUAAGCCUCUCUUCAGGGAGUCUGUGACUUUUCUUAAUGGCAUUAGAAAAUGGGUUCUGAUUAGCAUUUCCCUGAUGAGUAAGGAUGUUGAACUUUUUUUUAGGUGCUUCUCAGCCAUUCGUUAUUCCUUAAUUGAGAAUUCUCUGUUUAGCUCUGUACCCCAUUUUUUUUAAAUAGGAAAGGUUAUUUGUUUUUCUGAAGUCCAACUUCUUGAGUUCUUUAUAUAUAUUGGAUAAUAGCACUCUACAGGAUUUAGGAUUAGUAAAGAUCUUUCCCCAAUCUGUUGGUUGCCAUUUGGUCUUAUUGACAGUAUCCUGUGCCUUACAGAAGUUUUUCAAUUUUAUGAGGUCCCAUUUGUGAAUUCUUGAUCUUAUACCACAAGCCAUUGGUAUUCUGUUCAGGAAUCUUUCCCCUGUGCCCAUAUCUUCGAGACCCUUCCCCACUUUUUCCUCUAAAAGUUUAAGUGUUUCUGGUUUUAUGUGGAGUUCUUUAAUCCACUUACACUUGAGCUUCGUACAAGAUUAGAAUGGAUCAAUUCCCAUUCUUCUACAUGUUAACCGUCAGUUGAGCCAGCACCAUUUGUUGAAGAUGUUCUCUUCUUUCCACUGGAUGGUUUUAGCUCCUUUGUCAAAGAUCACAUGAUUUUCGGUGUGUGGGUUCAUUUCUGGGUCUUCAAUUCUAUUCCAUUGAUCUACCUGUCUGUCAUUGUACCAGUACCAUGCAGCUUUUAUCACAAUUGCUCUGUAGUAGAGCUUGAGGUCUGGGAUGGUCAUUCGACCAGAGGUUCUUUUAUUUUUGAGAAUAGUUUAUGCUAUCCUAGUAUAUUUAUUAUUCCAGAUGAAUUUGCAAAUUGCCCUUUCUUACUCUGUGAAGAAUUUAGUUGGAAUUUUGAUAGGGAUUGCAUUAAAUCUGUAGCUUGCUUUUGACAAGAUAGCCAUUUUUACUAUAUUAAUUCUGCCAAUCCAUGAGCAUGGGAGAUCUUUCCAUCUUCUGAGAUCUUCUUCAUUUUCUUUCUUCAGAGAUUUGAAGUUCUUAUCAUACAGAUCUUUCACUUCCUUAGUUAGAGUCACACCAACGUAUUUUAUAUUAUUUGUGACUAUUUUGAAGGGUGUUGUUUCCCUAAUUUCUUUCUCAGCCUGCUUAUCCUUUGUGUAGAGAGAGGCCACUGAUUUGUUUGAGUUAAUUUUAUAUCCAGCUAUGGUACUGAAGCUGUUUAUCAGGUUUAGGAGUUCUCUGGUGGAAUUUUUGAGGUCACAUAUAUACUAUCAUAUCAUCUGCAAAUAGUGAUAUUUUGACUUCUUCCUUUCCAAUUUGUAUUCCUUUGAUCUCCUUUUGUUGUUUAAUUGCUCUAGCUAGGACUUCAAGUAUUAUACUGAAUAUGUAGGGAGUGAGUGGCAGCCUUGUCUAGUCCCUGAUUUUAUUGGGAUUCCUUUAAGUUUCUCUCCUUUUAGUUUAAUGUUAGCUACUGACUUAUGCUCUAUGAUCAAGAAUUGAAAACUGAGACCUCAUAAAAUUGCAGAGCUUCUGUAAGGCAAAGAACACUGUCCAUAAGACCAAAAGGUCACCAACAGAUUUGGAAAAGAUCUUUACAAAUCAUAUAUCUGAUAGGGGCCUAAUAUUCAAUAUAUACAUAUAAAGAACCCAAGAAGUUGGACUCCAGGAAACCAAGCAACCCUAUUGAAAAAUGGAGUACAGAGCUAAACAAAGAAUUCUCAACUUAGGAAUACCGAAUGGCUGAGAAGCACCUGAAGAAAUGUUCAACAUCCUUAAUCAUCAGGGAAAUGCAAAUCAAAACAACCCUGAGAUUCCACCUCACACCAGUCAGAAUGGCUAAGAUCAAGAUAAAAAACUCAGGUGACAGCAGAUGCUGGCCAGGAUGUGGAGAAAGAGGAACACUUCUCCAUUGCUGGUGAGACUGCAAGUUGGUACAACCGCUCUGGAAAUCAGUUUGACUGUUUCUCAAAAAAUUGGACAUAGUUCUACUGGAAUAUCCAGUAAUACCACCCUGGGAAAAUACCCAGAAGAUGCUCCAACAUGUAAGAGUCAUCUUUGCCAAUGGAGUCAUACAUAGAGUGAAGUAACAAGAAUGAAGUAGGUACUGUGUGAAUAUUGUACAAAGCAGAUGUUAAAGUAGCCUCUACUUUAGGGGUGAAAUUCAUAUUUUAGUCUAACACUGUGCAUCACACUCCUUAUUCUUUAUGAUGCUAUGAUGUCUACAUUUUUUGUAAAAGUUAAAUUGACAAAUGAAAACUUAAAUAUUGUUAUAGCAAACUUAACUUCAAAAUUCUUUACAUCAAGUCACCCAAUUUGCUUUCUUCUUGUUUCAUCCCUAAUGGUUUAACAACUUGAAAUAUCAAAUUCCCUUAUAACUGCAUGUACUUUUCUUUAAAUAUUCAAUACUGAGAGAAGAAAUAUGACUUUUCUUAUUAAGUGUAGAAAACUGGUGUUAAUGAUAAGUUGCAUUAUUGAAAGUGAUUAUACCUGAAGGAAUUUAGAAACUUUUUUAAUCUUGGAAUAACUGGUUUGUUAAGUGACGUAUAUCUCACACAUUAGUAGACUUUCAGCAUUUUUUUGCAGUGUUCCUACAAAAUCAGCUUACAAACAGCUGCCAAGUUGCUGGUAUUUAACAACAAAAAAGCAAAAAUGUAAAGCACACACCCUCUAUCCUAGCAUGCUCCAGGCUGAUCUUCACAAGCAUGAGACUACCACCAGCACAACGCCAGGGAGCUCUGGCCUCCUGGCAUAACCCACACUGCUGGGAAUCAGUAUGAAGUUCUGGAGGUGAAGCAAACAGGUGCAUGAUUAGGCAAGUUGAUGUGGAUGUGUAAAGGGGUCAGGAUCACAGAGAGGAAGGAGACAACAGUUAAUAAGAGGAUUAUACAGAGGAUGCAACCAAGUACUGGCAUCCAAAGGUGGAUCCUUAUAUUUCUGGCUGAAAAUGGUGAUGGUGUUGGAGAACAAUGCCAGUAAGAGAGCAAGCACAAAGACCACAAUUCUAUUAGGAACGUGGUUGUAACUAGCCCUAAUUAUAUUGUUUUACAAACAAUUCAUUUUACUACAGUAAAGAAUACUUUUGAUUUUAAUGUCAUUUUAUUUUUAAUACAAUAGUUGUAACCCUAUUUGAAUGUACUCUGUAAGGCUCUGUCAUUUACCUUAAAAUUCUUACAUGUGGUAUUAAAGAUUUAGGAGCAUCAGGACAAUGUUGGUCUUUAUUAGAGUAGAACCUUUUGGUAAAGGCUCCAAUUGCCAUUUAUUUAAGCUCCAAUGUACUAAUAAAGUAGGCUGGCUUAUAUCAAAUGUAUCAAUGUGUCUUAAUCUCUGAUCUGAGACUCUCUUUAGGUUCCUAAGCUUCUAAUUUACAGAGAAGAAUGAGAAUAAAAUGAUCAGGGAGCCACACACAGCUGAGAGAGGAAGGCAACACAAUUAAAAAUAUUUUUCCUUUAUUAUAUUUUUCCUGUUUGCAAGCCAUUUCUGUACAACUAAAAUAUAUGCAGAGGGGCCACCUCAUUUAAUAAUAUUUUUUUCUAAUGACAUAACAAUCCUAUGAGCAAUUGACUUCACUUGUAAACGUCUCUGUAGAUUAAUUUUUGCUAUUACCUAAUGAGGCAAAUUAUGAAGCUUACUUAUCAAUUUAUCAAAGUUGCCAUGUAUGGUAAUCAUUGAGGUGUCUCUUUCGUGAGUUAUCUUCUAUUUGUCAUGGAUAAAGACAAACAUGCACUUCUUACAUGAAUUACUAAUAAGGUUAACAGAGUAACCACUAGGGAUAAACCUUAAGAAUCAAGCCUCUAUCAAUUAAAGAAUUCCAAAAUACCUGGAAUGAGAAUUCAAACUCCAAAUCUUUUCAGGUAAGCCAUAUAUGUGCUUAUUUUCCAGCUAUGUAAGCACUACAAUCACUGUCAUGUUCAUCCCCCUGUGAAACAAAGGUUGACUGUAGCAAAACAUUUUCAUGGGUUGCAUCUCACUGUAUUUGGAUUUUUGUUCUUUGGUUGUUUUGUUGUUUGUUUGUUUGUUUGUUUGUUUGUUUGUUUGAUGGUUUCUGUAGAAACUUACCAGAUGAUGGUAAGGAUUGGGAAAGUUAAUACAUCUAAUUAAUGAGGUGAGAUGGGUUACAGUAGGCAAGGCUAACCCACUUUUAAAAAACUGUUAUUGAAACAUUACUUAGUAUAAACCAAUAUAUUUGGGAGAUAUAUUAUCAGAGGAGUAGGAGUAGUCUUGAUAUCACUAAUGUCUAACACCUGAUACACACACACACACACAUGCACGAGCAUUCUAUACACUAAUCAGCUUGUGAAAAGGACCAGGAAAUAGCAAUUGAGUAAGCAGACAAAAGGAAUGUAUUAAGAGUCAAAUGAAUAGCAUUUAAAUCCAAUGGGUUUUACUUAAAAUCCCCAGUUCUUUAAAAUUUGAAUUAAAUGGGGCUAGAGAGAUGGCUCAGAGGUUAAGAGCAUUUGUUCAUAUCCAAAAACCCAAAAGGCAUCUUACAACCCUCAUGUUCCAGGAGAUGUGACACAUUUUUAAAACUUACUUGGGCACCAGGCACAAACUUGAUGUACAAAUACAAGUGUAGACAAAACACCUACUCACAUAAGAUAAUUAAAGACCAAAUUUAACCACAUGACAACAUUUAUGGGAUAGGAGAGAAUACAACAAUUCUGAUAAACUAAUCAAAAGCAACAAAUGUCUCUAAAAGUUUUACUUUUGCUUUUCGCAUGUUAAUAUAUUGGAUUUUGAGGCUGAGACCUCUCAGGAUAUGGUAAUAGUUAUAAAGACACCGGCCUUGUAGCUCAUUUAACUGCUUCCUGAAGUGUGAGCCUUGUGAUGCUUUGAAUAGAACUUCCAUGGGAAAAAGCAAGAAUUUGUUAAUUUAAGAGAUGCCUUGCCUAUUGAGAGCAUAUUGGGCAUUUAUGAGAAACUAGAGAUGAGCAAAAUAAGCCACUGUAAACUUUUCUCUUUUUAAGUUUGAUAACAAUGCGAAAUACACUGAGUGUCACAGUUUGCUUUUAUUAUAGCAACUAGAAACCUCAUUUUCUUUGUAUUUCUUUUAUUUCAUCUAUUAAGACAAGAACUUUCUAAAUGAUUUCUUCAUUUUUAUUAUAUGAAUACAUAUGCAUCUGUUUAUGUCUAUGUACACAUAUGUACCAGUACCCGGAGGACAGAAGAGGGUAUCAGGUACUCUGGAGAUAUAGAUACAGGUAGCCACCCAACAUGAACACUGGGCACUGAACUCCACAUAUCUCAAAGAACAUCAAUUGUUUUUAUCCAGUGUGCCAUCUUUCCAACUUCAGAGACAACCAAGGCCUUAUGUAUCUCAUAUUGUUCUCAAACUCCUUAUGUGGCUGAGGAUGACAGAGGACUUCUGAUUGGGCAGUUGCCGACCUCUCAAGUGCUAAGAUUACAGGUGUAUUCACCAUGCUCAGUUUUAUAUGAUCAUGGGGACCAGACCUAUGGCUUCCUAUAUGCUUUAGGUAGAGUGUUUGCUAGCAUUUCUCCUAAUUCUUUGACAAUAUUAACUCUUCUAUGAGAAUAGCCCUCAAUACAUAGAUCAGCCCUUGGAAAACUAGCUCCACCUUCAGGGAUCUUCAGUGCAGAAGCCCAUUCACUUGUGUCUAAAAUGUCCUUCUAAUGAACUAUUACAUAGGUACUGGCUCACUAAAAUGUACUUUUCAUAAAAUAAAACUAGCAUUGAGUUUACUGAGAAUGGUGAUUAACUAUCUCGAUAAGAAAGCUGGCUGCUACUCAACACCUGGAAGUGCUGUAAAUGGUGCCAUGUGUGUGAGCAUGCAGGUGUCUAUGUGAGAAUCCUCAUGUGUGUACAAGAAUGCCAGGACUGCCAAGAUCCAGGCAAUGGUGCUUUAUCAAAGUAUCUUGGGUGCUGAUAACAGUAGAUUCAGCUUCAAACCACUGUUACUCUUGUCUAAAAGAAUAAAAUUCUCCUUGUGUUAACUUCUUUAUUAGCCAUUUAACUUGAUAACUUGUGGGGUGGUACAUAUUUCAUUAAGAACUAUUUAUGAUAUAAUGAUAUGAAGGGAAAACUUUAUUACAGUGCCAUAUAGUAGACAAAUAUAAAACCACUUAUACUGUUGUUACAAAGAAAUAUAUACAUAUUAUUUCAUACCUUGCAUACAUAUAUAUGUGUGUGAUUGUUAAGAGGUUUUUUUUAUUUCUUGUUUGUUUUAAUGGGUUUGAGUUCUGCUUAAUAUUAAGGUAUCAAUAGUUGCUUUUCUUUUAGUCAUCCUCAACUUGUGUGCAAGAGAGACACACUCAAAGGACAGGCAAAGUGAGAAUAGCACCACCUGAGAAGGACAGAUAAAUUCUGGGAAGAAGUAUCCUCAUACUAACUAAGUGGCCAAGCCUGAAAAAUGCCAGGCUUUGGGACUCUGGAGCUCUGUGGUAUCUUAAUGAUUAAGACAAGGAAGGGCUAUCUUUAAUUGUUCUUUAUAAUUUCUCCAGAAGUUUUGUGAGCAAUUUUAUAUAAAAGAAGAUUGAUUUUACUUUUUUAAGGUAUCUUGAGCUAGGAGAAACAAAUAGAGACACACCAUCACAGACACAGACACAGACACAGACACAGACACAUUGAGACACAGAGACAUGCACACAGAUACAGAACUCAUACAGAUACAAUAUACACACAGACAUAACAUACAUACACAGACACAGAGCAUGUGAGUUACUGAGGCAGAGACAGGCACACAGACACCACAUACAAACAGAUACAGACAAGCGCACACACAGGCACACAGACACCACACACACAGAGAUACAGGCAUGCACACCAGCACAACACAAAUACACAGGCACACAGACACCACACCCACACCCACACACAUGCACUUUGUAGCGGCGGCAGAUUCCAUUCCAGUCCUGUCUUGUAAAUCCAUCUGCUCUAAUAUCCUGCUCCAACCUGAGUUUUCUGUCUGUCCAAUUAGAAUUUUCUUGACUCUCUUCUGCCUUACUCUGUCCCUUUGAGACAAAGCAUGGAAAAGUUAAUCUUUAUAACAAGAAACAAUGAAAAGGAAGAGUUUCAGAGUGGAUCUCAGUCAUACUGUCCCUUAGACCAUUCUUUCUUGUACACAGUAAACUAGAAAUAUAAUGGUCACUUAUCGACCUCCACUAAAGGGUCUUCUCCUGUAUGGCUCUCUUCUCAUCCUGACAAAGAACAAGGAAAUAAGUAGCCAUGGACAGGCAGGGUUUUUGUUGUUGUUGUUGUUGGUUUUGUUUUUUGUUUGUUUGUUUGUUUGUUUUUGUUUUGUUUUGUUUUGUUUUGUUUGAGGGGGUGGUGUUCUACUACGAACAAUAGACUCUGAAAGUAAAGGCUUGGCAUAGAUUGACUUAACAUUAAUAGUGGUUCUGAGCCAGUUACAAAUGAGAACACUAAAGCAUUAAGGGUCAGGGGACAUUUUUUUUUUUCAGUUUCUCUGAGGAAGCUUCUUCUGUAGCCACACCUAGUCUCUCUUGCACUGUGUUUAAGGCUAUCCUUAGGUUCCUGAAUUUCCUCCUUGAUCUACCAAAGGCUGAGUCACAAAUGGGUACUGCCACAUCUGGCCCACGGUGGACACCUCCCCACCAAGGUACAAGUUCUUGGAGAACUGAGAUUUUCAACAUUUGCUAACAAAGACUUCCUAAGCAGAGAUUUCUCUACAGUUGUUCUUUGCCUAUUGACAGUAAAAAGAGAGAGCAUAAAGGAAUUAGGAGUAUUUAAACCCGUAGAAAUGAAAUUUAUUGUCUUUUAGGAUUUAUCCUACUAGCCCUACAUAUUGGCUCAACCCUAUAUUCCUUUAGAGGAAUAAAGGUAUUUAUGUAUAAAAAUCCCAUCCUAGUUUCAAUCAGUUAAUUAACAUUAAAGAUCAACAACAGCAACAGCAAUACCAUCAACAACAAAAACACCUCUAAUAUUUUUAGAAGAUGAUUCUCAUAUACCCCAAGUAAGAUUUUGUAGUCCAACAAAAUAGUAUAAGGACAUUAUACAUUAUUAAACCCAAAAUAAAAGAAUACUUAAAAAUAAUUUUCAUCAGUUUAAAUCUGAGCUUUGCUUUACAAACACACAAAAUUCGGUGACUGUGUAACAAGAGUUUCAGACUUUUCUCAGAUCCAGGGACUCUUGGCUUCUUGUUAUUGUUGUUGUUAAAUGGGAUUGAUUUAUUGGCUGAGUUUCCUUCAAUAGCUCUCAGCACAUGUAGAAUCAUUUAGCAAAUCUGCAUUAUUUCAAUAAUCAACCAAGGUCAUCCUUUUUAUAGAUUCAAACAACACGGAAUUCCAGCCAUUCCUCCGUGAGCUAAAGCUCACUGGCUAUUGUAUUCAUUGUCUUAGUGGUCUUAUUAUUUCUCUUGAGAGAGCAUGUUGGGUAAAGUCCAUUAAUUAAAGAGAGAAGAUUAUUUUAAUGCAAUAUCACAAGCAUUAGAAUUUAUUUUAAUAAAAUACGAGGGAAAUAAACCAACAUGUAUAUUAGGAAGUCAGGGAUGGGGAUAGCUUAAGGAAAAUGUUUGUGCAAAUGCCAAAAGAAGUCACAUAACAUCUCCAAUAAAUGUAAAUAUUCUGAAAGACUAGUAUUUUUCAGCGUACACUGAGCUGAGGACCUACUACUGAGGACUGAGCUGGGCACAUGCUACUUAUUCAUUUAGCCUCCUCCUCAUUAUUCACGUUAUCUAAAACUCCAGAGGUAAAACUGGUGCUGUUCGUUGGCGAGGGGUCAAUUACUUGUAUAAGCAUAAUAUUCUCGAGACGUGUUUAAAAGUACUCUGGUUUCCAGCUGCAGCGAAUGUGCAGCCGGUAAAGCCUGUGACCUGGUAAGGCCAGAGUAAAUAACUGAGACCAGAGAAUAGACAAGGACAUAAGGUCUUCAUCAGGAAACCCACAAGGUCUCCAGACUAGAGAGUUUCUAGGUGAAGGCAUCCGCAGCUUCUACUGAAAUAAUGGAUUUGGAAUAUAUUAAUCAUGUCAGAAAGACAAAUACGGUUGACAUCUAAAUCUAUAUAAACUUGGUAAGACAGUAAAUACUCAAACUUUCAAUGUUGAAAAUUAAAAAAAAAAAAAAAGCAAAAGAAAAGCAAAUCCAACCUAAAAACUUUCAGGAAAAAGAAAAAAAAGGUCAAAUGUCAAAUCUUACAAAAUAGGAAGCUAGUAAGAUUUGGUGAGAAUGAGUGCUGGGUAUGAACAUAUUAAAGAAAUAUGUAGGUGGUGCGCCUGCAAUGGAUUCCCAGAGGUUGGAGGUUACAUGUAACACACCUGGGCUAGUGCUCUGCCAGGCAGCCUAGUUCAGGUACACAGUAAUGAAACGACCUCAGAGAUCUCUGGGGUAGUGAGCUCUAUAGGUUCCGUUCAGGAUCCCUCUCUCAAGUACAAUGAUCUUUGCCUGAUUUUCAAAAUCGUCAGCUAACCAACGUAAUAACUCUAAUUUAAAUAUUCUCUCAUGGCUUUAGAAGUCAUUUGACCUUUGUUGUCCUCAUCCUUACUUCCUGUAUAGACAGGAAGUAAGGACUGAAUAUAAAACAUCAAGACGAACACAAAAGAAGCCACCUCCCAGAUAAAGACCAGAAGUCCUUCCCACCACACACUCAUGCAACUAAAACACAUAGGAGAAAACCUGCAGUGUCUAAACUUGAGAAAUGUAGAUGCUACACAAAUGUCCAAUAAAGGGCAAUUCGAGUGUGGACCAAGGCUUAAUUAAGGCCUUCUCUCUCUGCUCAAUUGUCAUACCUACUUUCAGAAGUAAAGGUUUCACUUUGUUAAUAAACUGUCUCUACUCUAUGUCUAAUACAUGUCUCUAAUGCAAUCCUUAGUCCUGAGAUAAUGAUAGCCUCAGAUGGGCACCUUCUAAAUUCAGAUCUGCAGGGAGACACUAAGCAUGCCUUUCUCUCCCAUUUUCUUUAUCCCCAUUUUUGGAUAUUGGCCAAAGACUUAAACAUGCAUUCUCUGAUUACUGGUCUCUCUCUUUCUAUGAAGUUCUAUUAUUCCCCUCCUAUCAUACACUGCUUGCUGAUCUCCAUUGCUGAACUACUGGUGUCCUGUGAUCCUAAAUCAAAAAGUCCUGUAAUUCUCUCUUCCUCUUUACCACUUCCCUCCUCCAGAAGCUGCUGAGAAUUUUCUUGCUUAUCCUCUUGUUUUUCUCUCAAUAAAAUGGCCCUUGAGCUUCUAAGCCAACUCGAAAUUAUUUUAUUAAUGAGAUUGUCCUAGUUAGGGUUUCCAUUGCUGAGAAGAGACACCAAGACCAAGGCGUCUCUUAUAAGGGGCAUCAUUUAAUUGGGGCUGGCUUAUAGGUUCAGAGGAUUAUUCUAUUAUCACCAUGGCAGGAAGCAUAGCAGCAUCCAGGCAGGUACAAUGCUGGAGACGGAGCAAGAGGUCUGAUCUUGAUCUGAAGGCAGUCAGGAGAAGACUGUCUUCAGUGCAGCUAGGAAGAGGGUCUCAAAGUGACACACUUCUUCCAACAAGGCCACACCUGCUCUAACAACGCUACAACCUCCUAAUAGUGGCACUCCCUGGGCCAAGCAUGUACAACCCACCACAGAGACCAAGAAACCCAAAGAGAACCUCAGAUCCAGCAGUAACUACGAAACUGCUAAACCUUUCAGGUUCCUUUUCAGAACUUUGAUGUGCGUUUUGUGUAUGCGUGAGUAUUUGGAGUGGAGGUACACGUGCCUGUGGAUUGGGGUGUGUGUAUGUGUGUGUGUAUGUGUGUGUGUGUGUGUGUGUGUGUGUGUGUGUGUGUGUGUGUGUGUGUGUAUAGGCCACAGGAAGACAUUGGGACAUUGAUGUUCUGUUCUGUCACUGCCCACUUUAUUUCUCUGAGAUAGAUUCUCUCACUGAACCUGGAGUUCAUGGUCUUCUUUGUAUGUUUGUGGGUUUGAUUGUUUGUUUGUGUUUUGCUAGGAUGGCUGGCAGCGAUCCAUCCUAUCUUCCUAUCUUUGCCUGCUAGGUAUUUUUCUAUGGAUAUUGGAGAUCCAUUCUCAGGUCUAGGACCAGGAUACUGGACAGUCCUUUCAUGUUGAAAUCAUCUUGGAGGAGCACAAAGCCUGGGACUGGUAUUUUCUUUUCUUACAAAGAGAAAUGUCUCAUUUAACAACUUAGGCUAGACCAUGGUGAAUUUCCUAAUGUACUUUGUUAUGUUAUCAAAUGAAAAGCAGUCCAGCCUUUGCCCUUCUCCUGCCUUAGGUUGGUUACCUCCAUCCCAGGUUACUUCUCUUACCUUGCUGACCUAACCGUGAGGGAAGUUUUCGGAAAGCAGGCAGGUUUGGCAGAUGAGGAAGCUCAAUUUGCAAUUGCCUUGAAGAGCGGCUGUUCUUCACUGUGGAUGCGUGGAUGUGACAAUAAGGGGAGGCACACUGUUUAUCUUUGCAAAAUAUGAGUCUGUGGCAGAGAAAAGAAGGCUUGUCCCAUAGGUGCCAAGGAAUCAAAGCCACACUGCCUUUAUGUCUUUGAUGUAUUUCAUUAAUGUAAUACAUUCAUUAAUUAAAAAGAAUACUUAGGGAAGUUUUUUUUAAUGUGAGAUGCAUUUGCCGUAUCAGCCAUAUUCCUCUUUCUCCAAUGCUUCUUUUCUUCACAUUAAAAACAAUGAAUGAAACCAAACAAACCUUUACCUAAAUAAUGAUGCUAGUCACAAAGUAUAUUUCCAAUAAUGAAUAUCAGCUGUCAAUCUAAUAAAUGUGAAUAAGGACUUACUAAAAUAUUAACAAUAAACAAACAAACAAACAGACAGACAUGAUUAGGAGGUAAUGUCACUUUGGAUUCUUAGGUAACAGGCUGAGCUGAUUUUCCAGUACCUUAAUGCCCCCUGCUGGCAAUUCUUGGAAGUGGCAUAUUCUAGGCAGAAAUAUAAAAGGGAGCCAGCCAUCUCUUUAAAAGUCUUAGAGAAAGGAUUAAGAGAUAAAGAUUAAAGAUAAAGAUUGUGUUUUGCCUGGGUUUAUUUUCUUGACUGUAACUAUCAGUAGAGGAAGUAUGUGAGGACUGUGCUAUGUGUAAGGAAUCCUCACUUCAUUGCAAGGGGGAUGGUCCUAGUGGUGAAAACAGGGCUUGACUGGAGAGUGUUAGCUAUUGAUUCCGUUCAUUCUGCUAACCUAGCUCUGCGCAGCCUCCAGUGAACGUCAGUCCUAUGUUCUUCGUGCAGACACAUUUUUAUGCAUCAAGUGUAAGGAAAGAGGAUAUAUAUUUGUCGAAGGUGCUAUGCCAGUAUCGCACCAUUUUCUCUAAGUACUACAGCCAAGGAGGGAGCUAUUAGAAAAAAAUAUAUGUAGAGAAAGGGUUUGUAUAGUGUUUUCCCUUGCUGAAUCACAAGCAUUCAAAGAAGACACAAUUUCUAACUACAUAUCUUGGUAUCUAUGGUGAUUGAGAGUUUUGCUGGUUAUAGUAGCCUGGGCUGUCGUUUGUGUUCUCUUAGGGUCUGUAUGACAUCUGCCCAGGAUUGUCUAUUCUUUCUUUGCAUAACUGUAUUUGCAACUUUAGGGCAUUAAUAAGUAAAGGCUACUUAAUUUCUCAAUAAUCAAUCUGAUAAAAAAAAAUAUCGAAUACUGACAGGAGUCUAAUGGUCAUCACAUAGGACAACACAUCCCAGGAGAACACAGGAUUUUAUGACAUUUCUGAAGGUAAUUCAGACAGGGUGGAAUGUGAAGUUUAAGAAUUAUUUACUUCUAGGAAUUUCCACUUAAUUUUUUACAGUGUAAUUGGUGACAGAUGAGUAAUUCUCCAGAAAAGUCAAACCUUAGACAGGGAUACUAGCAAAUAUCCUCAAAUUGGUCUCUACUGAGUAGAGAUAUAAGGGGAUAAACCUACAGGAGACAGGGGCACUUGAUGGCUCUGGGGACUUUAGUCCUCCGGUCUCCAGCUUUUUGUUAGACUUUAAGGAGCAACAGCUGUAUCACUUGAACCCUUUUGUACUAAGUAAGGAGUCCAGAAUUUCCUUCUAAGAUGUAGACUCCUCAUUUUCCCACCAGUCCAUGUACUUAUUUUUCAUGUAUAUUACUGCAUACAUUUAUUCACUGGUGAGAACUGCUAUUCUUAUACAGCACCUCAGACAAGGCACCACUCAACACUUGAUAAACACACAUGAAAGAGGUUUUUCUAGUGGGUUUUAUUUUCUCACUGUAUUUACAGCUACAGUACUUGAAAAGAUGAGAUUGGUAACUGGGGAAACAGGUCAGGGAUGAAGUACACUGGCUGUUCUUCCAGAGGACCAGUAUUCAAUUCCUAGCACCUAUGUGGGGGCUCACAGCUAUCAGUAAUUCCAAUCUCAGGUGAUCUGUUGCCCUCUUCCGGCUUAUAGGAGCACUGCAUGCACAUGAUGCAUUGACACCCAUGAAUAUACCUAUGAAAAGCUAAAUAAAUAGAUAAUUUAAGAAUUAUAUUUUUAAAAGGAAAAACAGAGAAAUGGCAAACUGGGAAACGAACCUGUGGCUAACAAUAAUUAAUUGUCAUGAUCCACACUUAAAACUACAAUAAUAAAAUUAAUUUUUCUACGUAUACUAUACUACUUCAAAUAUUUUAUAACAUUUUGCCACCAAUUAUAAGACAGUCCUAUGUAUUUAUAUGUGUACUUAGUAUCUAUAUUGAAAUAACUAUACAAUUCAAAGUCCAGUAGGUUUUUGAAAAAUAUAAUAUGGCUGUAAAUUCCUUAAAUAUAUAAUCUAACUUGGCAUGGUAGUACAUGCCUGUAACACUUGUACUUCAGAGGUAGAUAGUCCGGAAUUCAAAGUCAUUUUCAAAUACCCAGAGAGUCUGAAGCUACGUGACUCAUCUCAAAAUUCAAGAGUACGUGUGUACCUGCAUACAUAUGUGCACAUAUACGGCCCCUCACCCCACACAUAUACAGACAAGGAAGUACAAGUGCAUAUCUCCAAUAAUUUGUCAGUUCCUCCUAACAUAAAGUAUUGUUCUGGCUUGUUAUAAUUGGGCUGUAGUACGAACAAGUAUGCCAGAACUCUGGAGAUAAUUUUAAGAUGAGUUACGAGCAGUCUGGCAGAUAGGAAAAGAAAGAAUCUAUGUCAUUUUCCUGACACAACACCAUUCUGAACCGAAUUGCCACCCCCACCUGUUCUGUCUUCUUCCUCCACUUCUGUUGUCCUGUGUUUUGUGUGUCCAUAGAGGGCUCUAUCUGAUAUGCUGAAAUAUCUUCAUACCCAUGCUUCACGUAAGAUAUUAGCCAUUACUAAAUAAUUAAUUAUUCUAUUAUUUAGUAAUCUGGCAAUACAUCUAAUUAAGCAGUGGACACUAGGUUGUGUGAGCUCUUUCUUGACCGUGCCACCAAGAUCCACUGAGUUUUCAACAGAGAAACUAGCUUAAUUCUGGAGGAAUUAAAGUAGUGGCAAAACAGAAUCAAGAUUUCACGUGGGAGUAAAUAUUUCAUUACUGGCACUUCCUGCAGUUAAGAUGAAAAGAGUUUUAAGGAGUGUGUGAGUGACAUUUUAGGACCCAGAUCCUCUUGAAUAUCUGUUAAGCCCUUCCAAUCUCCUUUAGCCCCUUGUCUCCUUGAAACAUAGGCUUCAGUUCCUUGGGCCAGAUCUGCUAGCUUACUCCCUCAUAGAACUGAUAAAAUCACUCAAAAGGACAGGUAUCAGAGUUGGCACAGAGUUUUCUGAAUCCUCUUAAAACACUGGGAUAGAAUUUUCUUGUCCACUUAGGUUGGAUGCAGAGGAGCUGCAGUAAAUCACUCAACAAGCACAGUAAUCCUGACUCCCUGGUCUAUGGGAGGGGGCGGUCCUAGUGGUGAAAACAGGGCUUGACUGGAGAGCGUGAGGUACUGAUUCUGUUCAUUCUGCUAACCUAGCUCUGCGCAGCCUCCAGUGAACGUCAGUCCUAUGUUCUUCGUGCAGACACAUUUUUAUGCAUCAAGUGUAAGAAAAGAGGAUAUAUAUUUGUCGAAGGUGCUAUGCCAGUAUCGCACCAUUUUCUCUAAGUACUACAGCCAAGGAGGGAGCUAUUAGAAAAAAAAUAUAUAUGUAGAGAAAGAGUUUGUAUAGUGUUUUCCCUUGCUGAAUCACAAGCAUUCAAAGAAGAAGAAAUCACAAUUUCUAACUACAUAUCUUGGUUUACAUUUAAAACAAGACCUUGGGGGAAAAUUUACAAUUGUAUACCCGGAGAUAAAAACUCUUUAACCAAUAGAACAUUGAUUUGCAGAUUUUCAAUGAAAAAUAGGCUCAAGAAUAUGCCUACCAAACAGCAAUGAAAGCUGAGAUGAGAAUUAAAGACAAAGGGCAAAAUAAAAUGGUAUUACAAUCACUGCCGCCUCUUCAGAUCAAAGGCCAUGGCAGAGAAAUUAACAGGCUUUGAGAAGUAGAAACAAAAUAAAGAUCCCUUAAAUCAAUGGGAACUUAGGGAGAAACAGGGUUUAUCAAUAGACAGAAAAUAUGGGGGGGGAUCAUCAUAUCUCUGAAGUGGAAAUAAUUAAUAUGAGCAAAUCUUAUCAGUAUCUUUGCUUUCAAACUCUUCUCACCUUUCCUUUUACCCGAUGAAACAGUGUGACACAAACUAUGUGAGAACCAAGGAAUUAUUUCAGCUCAAGUGGACAUCUGAGUCUAGCGCUCUGAUUUAGGGGUUUACCUUCCAUAAUUCCAUAUGGAUGGGUAUGUUAGUCUUAUGUAACACCCAAUAUAAACCAUACCCAGACAGCCAUAUUGAUGGGGAUAUUGUAGUCUUAUGUAAUGCCCAAUACAAAUCAAUCAUACCCAUACAGCAAUGGUCAGGUGGAGUAUCCCAGUCUGAAAAAUGAAAAUCUUAAAUGCUCCAAAAUUUAAAGGUUUUAAUGGGUAGAAUUUCACAAGAAAAAAAUUCCACAUGUAAUCUUAUAUGACACAUGUAAUGAAAAUAUUGUGCAAAAUUACAUUUAAGUUAUAUGUUUAAGGUGCACACAAAAUAUAAAUGAAGUUUGUGUUCAUAAUAAGGUCCUGUUCCUAUCAUAUAUUAUAAUAUAUAUAAGUAUUCCAGAUGCUGAAAGUAAUUCAAAACAGUCUGACCCCAAGCAUCUUGAUAAUGGUAUAUUCAAGUAUCUUAGUCAACUCUUAAUAAGUACUUCCCAGUUAGUAGGCUUCUUAGUGUGUUUCACAUGCACUCCUUCAUUUAAUCCCCCAAAGCUUGCGUAAAAAGUAAUGGACUAAACUAUACAUGAAGAAACACAUAAGUAAAUCAAUUGCUCAAGAUUUAAUCUAGUGGAAAGAUAAAAAUCAUGAUUUAAGUCCAGGCAGCUGAACUCCACAGGCUUUGUGAGCACACACUAAAGUGCCCAUUAGGCAAGUGUCCAGCCUAUAGUUUUCCAGUUUAAUUCUCCUCUCCUCACACAUUCUCCACCCCAAAUUUUCAUUUCUUUGAAUGUGUUUUCCCAGUAUUUUAUACUUAUUAUACAAUCUUGAUGCCUCUGGCAAAUAAUAAUAAUAAUAAUGUGUUCAUAAUAGUUUAAAUAAUAGUUUUCACAUCUAUUAGGAGGAGAAAUGAUGAUAAACAACCAUAAAAAACAGAUUAUGCAGGAGAAGACACAGUUAUACACAUAAAGGAAGCACACACACACACACACACACACACACACACACACACACACAUUCUCUCACAGAGGCGGGGGAAAGAAAGGGGUGGGGAGAGAGAGAGAGAUGUAAGCCCUUAGAAACAGGGACUUAGGGCCUUUUAUACUCUGUCUGAACCUUUAAUGAAAACAUAAAAAGCAAAAAAUGAAAAACAGAGAAAAAAGAUGCUGUGCCAUGAAGAGUUUUGAUAAAUAUAUCCUUGGAUCUCAAGCACUUGGUGGCAGCAUGCCACCAUCUUCAAGGACCACAUCUUUCCGGUGAGAAGCUUCAUCUUUGCAUCUUUGCAUAGACUGCUGUUUGACUCUGCAGUCAGGAAGAUCCCUCAUCUCUGAGGAGCCAGACGUGAAGGCAGCAUGAAUGGAAAAGCAGGAAGUGGAUAAAAUGACAUGCCAGGUACUAGCAUGUCUACUUAAACAUUCAAUUUUCACUUCACAUAGUGUUUGCAUGUCUUUCCUGUGGAUGAUAUCCAGUAACUGAUUCUGCCUCCUCUACCUCUGAAAUCAUUAUUUAGGAGAAAUGGUGUAUUAUUGGAGGCAAAGGCCCAAGCAUUGGGCUCUAAACACAACCCACAAACACAGUUAAUGACUCAGUGCCUCCAGGUGAAUUUUAGAUUCACCAUUCAAUAAGAAUUCUUCUUUGAGAUGAGGUCUCAAGAAGCCAAGACGAGCUUUGAAUGCUCUUGGAGUGGAGUAGAGAGAGGCUGGAACUUUUGACUCUCCUGCCUCCACCUGCAGAGUUCUGGGACUGAAGGCAUCUAUCUCUAUGCUGGCUUCAUGUGCUCUUAGGCCUCAAAACGAGGGUUCUGUGAAUGCUAGACAAGCACUCAUCCAACUGAGCUGUGCUCUCAGCUUGUUUCUAUAAUCUUAGUCUCACCUGCCUCUAAACAAACAAAUGAACAACACGUAAACAAAACUGGAAAGCAAAAUUAAAACCCUACAACUGAAAGGGGUAUGUGGGCCAGUAGCAAGGCAUCUGAUAAACUGAGUUUGAUCCCUGGGGUCCACAUGGUAAGGGGUCAACGCCCACACAUUGACUUCUAACUUUCAUACAGAUUUUGGAUACUGUAUCCAUAUCUACACUCCCAAAGAAAUUACUGUAAUAAAAAAUUAAAUGUCUUGUAGCAUUUUUCUCUCCCUUUCCCAAAAUGUGAUUUUUUUUUAAUUUGCAAACUUUAUUUCUUUGAAUACAUCUAUCUUCAAUCUGGUAUUUUAUUAUUGAGAAAUGAACAAAGACUUCCCAAUAGAAAAUGAUUCAGUCUUUUCCAUCUCAGUCUUCAGCCUCCCUGGUAAACCAUUCCUUAUUACCUUCUCAUUCACAGCAUCUCUCAUUCCUUCUCUCUGUCUUCCCUAUUAAGUUACAUUCUAAAUAACGAUCAUCUACUACUACUACAUAUUUCUGUCCUUCAUUUAUUCAUUCAGUCAAUGCUUUGGUAUAUAAUAUUCAUGUACUAUGUUUCAGAACCAUAAGAAUGAAUAAUCUAGAAUGUGAUAUUACCAUCUGGAAUAGCCAAAGUCUCACUAAAAUGAUGCCAUACAUGGGGCAAAUAUUUCUAAGGAUCACUAAUUAUACACAAAUUACACUCCAGAAUACAGGAGAUUCUAUAAUAUAUUUCAUGAAAGAGAAUUUCUGAUUGAUAUUAAAAUUUUCCUUUAUGUUAUGCCUGACACAAAAUCAUGCUAAUGCUAUUUAUCACACACUGACUAUGAAUGCAGGAUAAAUUAUUCCAUUUAGACUUCACCAUGAUUAUAGGAAUUGGUGUCAUGUUCAUGACGUUCAUUUUUGCCAGGAGAGGAAUUUGCCUAAAAAACUCACUGUUUUCCCAAGGCUAUCUUGCUCAUGGGAGCAGCUAGGACUUGGCUAGAUGGUUUGGUUUUAAACAACCUGUGCUCCUUUUACUUGCUUAUUUGGCUUUAUUAAGCUGUUGCUUUUUUCCUCCCAAAAAUUAGAUUUUUAAAAGAUUUAUUAACUCUAGGAAGAAUUGAGUUGGAAUUUUGAGCUUGGAAUACCCAAGAAACAAUUCACAGACUACAUGAAGCUCAAAAAGAAGGAAGACCAAACUGUAAGUGCUUCGGUCCUUCUUAGAAAGGGUGGCAAAUUACCCAAGGGAGGAGAUACAGAGACAAAAUGUGGAGCAGAGACUGAAGGAAAGGCCAUCCAGAGACUGCCCUACAUGGAGAUCCAUCCCAUAUACUGUCAGCAAACCUAGACACUAUUGUGGAUAUUAAGAAGUGCUUGCUAACAGGAGCCUGAUAUAGCUGUCUCCUGAGAGGCUCUGCCAGAGCCUAACAAAUACAGAGGUGAAUAUUCACAGCCAACUAUUAGACUGAGCAUGGGAUCUCCAAUGGAGGAGUUAGAGAAAUGACUGAUGGAGCUGAAGAGGUUUGCAGCAUCAUAGGUGGAACAACAAUAUCAACCAACCAGACCACCCCAGAGUUACCAGGGACUAAACCACCAGAGUGUACCAAGAGUACCAAGAGUACACAUAGCUCCAGUCGCAUAUGUAGCAGAGGAUGACCUUGUACAUCAAUGGUUGGAGAAGCCCUUGGUCCUGUGAAGUGUAGGGGAAUGCCGGAACAGGAAGUGGGAGUGGCUAUGUGGGUGGGGGAAAACCUUCAUAGAAGCAGGGGGAGGGGUAUAGGAUAUGGGGGUUUUCAGAGGGGAAAGCAGGAAAGGGGAUAACAUUUGAAAUGUAAAUAAAGAAAAUAUCUUAUAAAAAUUUUUAAAAGAAAACUGUAAUAAUUUAAAAACAAACAAACAAAAGAUGAUUAACAACAAAAAAUAUAUCCUACAACAUUUCUGAAACCAAAAGCACCCACCAUCUUCCUAGUGACGGAUGUAUGUGUGCUCAUGUGCUUGUGUAUGUUAGAAAAUGAUCCAUAUUUUAUAUCACAGGUCCAUUUGCUCAUUUCUCUUUAAAAUGGCAAAAGUUGAAUGAUAUAGUGGGGAGUUCUAAAAUCUCUAUAGCUUCUAGCUAUAGAAAUUAUUACAAAUCUUAAGUAGAACGAGAAUUUCAGUAUCUUUCUAUUUGUUCCUCUCCCUGUCUCUGUCUCUUUGUGUUUCUGUCACUCUGUCUCUGUCUGUCUCCUUUUUCUGUCUCUCUGUUUUUCUUUCCAUCUCUGCUUCUUCUUCUCUAUAUCUGCCUGUUUGUCUCUCUGUGUCUCUCUGACUCUGUCUCUCUGUGUCUCUUGUUCCUUCCCUCCUUCUCUCCCUCCCUCACUCUCUCCUUCCUUUCUUCCUCCUACCCAUCACCUGUCUGUUUAUAUAGACAGAAUCUGAUUCCGUUUCUUGAGCAGCAUUCGUGAAUUAAGAUAUUGAACUGUGAGUGCUGAUGUGAAAACUGAGAACAGAAACCUUUGCCAUGUGGCAGACUUUUGAAGGCACAUUCUGCUUUGUCUUUUUUUAAAGGAGGGGAGACUUGUUUAUAGAUGAACUCACUCCUGGUACACUACA